CAUCCAAAUAAAGAACACAUUAUGCAAAUGCCACAUCAUUCCUUUUUUUAUUCACUUAUUUCUCCACAUUAUCAGACAGCCCUUACAAUGAAUUUCUAGGUACUGCCCGGAGGUGGGGGUGUAGGUAGCGUUAUAACAGGAACUGUGUAACCUGCACAGGAGAUUUUCAAUUUUCGCAUCAUAAGGAUAAUCAUGAGCAAUUAUAUGAGAAAUAAUGGCAAGUAGAAAACAGGCACACAUAUGUAUAUGUAUAGAAAUAUGACGGUUACCGACCUGCACAGUGAGUGUGUGCACGCAGCCCAUUGCCGCACACAUGUGUAGCCAUGGCAAACUUGGCUAGGCUGAUCCUAGCCAGUUCGGGAGCUGUGAAUUUAUCACAGACGCAGUGGAUGUCUGUUGCUGCCCUUAUCACCUGGCAACAUACGCUCCCAUGUAGAAGGGGGUGCUCGCCAACAUUCUUCCCAAUGUUCCUCCAGCAUUCCCUCAUCACCUUACUUUUAUCCGCGGCGCAGUGAUCUGCUUGUGCACGGUGUGGAUAUGAAGAGAAGGCCACAAAGACUAGGAAGCAUAAAACUCCUAUUGCCUUAGCACUGGUCAUCUUCUUAUGUGAAAUGGUAUUAUCGGUAUGUGUUUUAUGCAAUAAUUCAGCAACACUUGGGUUCUAUAUAUAUUGGUUGUAAACUCGUUCGCUCUUUGGUCAUUUAAUUAACUGAAUCCUCAAGAUAACUUGGAUAUGAUGUUAUUUAAUGUAGGCACAUCUAGUUCUUGUAUCAAACUGCAGAUAGAGUAUACGUAGAUGGGUGCAAGCUAUUAAAUGCUAGUGACUGAUUUCUGAUAGAUAGAUAACAAGGAUAUGUUCUCCUUUAAUGUAGGAUAUACUUAAUUCUCAUAAAGCAUGAAUAUCAAAUUGCUUGUGCAGGAUAUACGAAGGUGCAUGGCUGCAAAUUGAUUUUCUAAGUAUCCAUUGGGAUUUUAAUUUCCAGUUACUACCAAGAAAGAAUACCUUUUCAUACUCACUCUAACCAAGGAUAUACUCAGGCCAUUAAAAAUGCAUGACUUUUUUUUGUUGAAAAUGCAUGACAUUAUAGAUAUGAGUCCAAUCUGCAAAUGCAACAUUAUUUCAUAUGAAUAUGUUAAAUAAAAUAUGAAAUUAUUUAUGACAAAUCUUGUAAUAUGAUUUUCAAAGUGGAUACUCUUUUAAUUAGAUGAUUCAUAGAUGUAUAUGAUACAUAUAGCGGGGUGCUGUCUUUGUCCAACCAGUUUUGAUACUUCCGAAGUAGGAUUAAGAGCGAAAUAUGCAAGCCAUGUAUUAAUUAAUUACAGGUAGACCGGUAGACUAAAUAGGAUGUUCUGAGUUAUUGCUGGUAAAAAUCUGCUGAAAACUAUAUUAAUACAUCGGCUCUUUAACGAAAAGUGUGUAAUAGUCGCAUAUGAUGGAAAAUAUUGGAUAGAGUUGGAUUAACAUAUAUACCCGACAUAGCACCUCUGGGUUAUCCCUUCUACACAUGCGAGUACGGACACGUAAGAGGUAGUGCUGUGAUAAGCGUAUCCUCUUAAUAUUCAAUUCAGGAGAACGUUAUAGGGAAACCGUUGAGAAGCUUGGCUUCAUCUUGUGAGAAGAUUGAUGGAUGUUCACCUAUCUCAACAACCCGACCAGUUGCGCUGGAAACUAACUAAGAAUGAAGAGUUUUCGGUUAAAUCCAUGUAUUUGGAUGUUAUCAACGCUAGCACUAUUCCUCGUUCGAAACAUGUUUGGAAAGUCAAAGUGCCUUUAAAAAAUCAAAGUGUUUUUGUGGUUUGUCCAUAAACAAGUUAUUCUAACUAAGGACAAUUUGGUAAAACGCAAAUGGACAUGAUCUACAAAAUGUAGCUUCUGUGAUAGUGAUGAAUCCAUCAAACACCUCUUUCUUGACUGUCCAUUGGCAAAAAAUUCGUGGCGGUCGGUUCGCAUAGCAUUUAAUAUUACUCCUCUGAAUACUAUCAACACAUUAUUUGGGACGUGGCUAGAUGGGAUAGAUCCAGAAAUAGCGAGACAUAUCCGUGUAGGAGUAUGCGCUUUAUUAUGGGCAGUUUGGAACUGCAGAAACGAUUUGGUUUUUAACAAAACAACAAAUAUUCGUUUCUUGCAGGUUAUUUUCUGGGCCACUACACUGAUUCGUAUGUGGUCGCUACUCACUCCGACGGAGGUCAGGGAUCGUUUGAUUACUGGAUCUAUCCGAUGGGAGACGGUAGCACGGGCUAUAUUCAACCGGUUUUGAUGGUGGUCAUGUAAUAGGAUAGGUAUUUAGUUUCCUAUCUUAAUUUUUGCCUGCUGGUUGUGACUAUCCUGUUUUUUUCAUGCUCUUUGUGAGCCUUUUUUCCGUUUUUGAGACCUGAAGACUUUUGUUGGACCUUUUGUUUAUCAAUAAUAUGGUCGUAUGCAUCGUUCUGAUGCAGAGGCCGGGGGCUAACCCCUUUUUGAAAAAAAAUCAUUUGGAUGGUGACAUCAUUAAAACAUUUUCUUGGGCCAAAUAUUACAUUCCAUACUUCAUUUGUUUUGCUUGAAAUGACAAAAUGAAACGGCGAGCCCCGUUUGUCACUGGUAUCACCUUACGGAAGUGAAACAAACAUUUGUAGUGUUGUUAAAUAUGGGAAACUAAACUAAAUAUAAACAUGGUGAUUUAUACAUGUAAACUCUACCAUUCCAUUAACGUACAUACGCAUCAAUCAUUGUCUGCCUUAAUAAGGAUUUAAUGCUGAGGAAAUAUCAUGGAAAUCUCCAUGAUCCCACCAAUCUUGUCUACCCAGUAUCACCGGCACACGCUCUUCCUUGUGUAACCCGGAUGGCAAUUUGACAAGCCUAGGGCAAUCGUACAUGUGGAAGGGCUGUGCAACCGCAAUACAUUAAUCAAUGCACCAGGCACGUAUAUAUGAGUUACAGAGGGGGCCACAACCUCGACUAUACAAAGGAAAUAGGAGAUGGGCCCAAUACACAAUAUAUACGUACACCAAUAUACUCAACACCCUCCCGCAGUCGAAGCGGCGCCAGUGACGUAGGAACUGGAAUGAAACUCCUCGAAGGUGGAAGUCGGCAGUCCCUUCCUCAUCACAUCGGCGAACUGUUGUGCAGUCGGAACAUGGAGGACCCAAAUACGUCCAAGAGCCACCUGCUCGCGCACAAAGUGAAUGUCCAACUCAAUGUGCUUAGUCCGGCGAUGAUGAAUGGGGUUGGCGGAGAGGGACACCGCAGAGACGUUGUUGCGGUAGACAACCGUAGCCUGAGAGACAUCGUGAUGCAACUCAUGAAGUAACUAUCGUAGCCAGGUGCACUCGGCAAUGAUACGUCCAUUUUGCAUCAUACUUUUAUAUCAAUAUUUAUUGCAUUAUGGGCUGUUAUUACACGUUAUGUCACAAUAGUUAUGGCUAUUCUCUCUUAUUUUACAAGGUUUAUCAUGAAGAGGGAGAAUGCCGGCAGCUGGAAUUCUGGCUGGAAAAGGAGCAAAUAUUGGAAACCUAUUAUGCACAGCUCCAAAAAUCCUGAAACUCCCUGGAAGUCAUUUUUGGAAUUAAUAAGAAUUGUUGAGCGAAGAAAAUACCAGAGGGGCCCACACCUUGGCCAGGAGGUGGGGGGCGCGUCCCCCCCUACUGGGCGCGCCCCGUGUCUCCUGGGCCCCCUGGUGGCCCUCCGAUGCCCAUCUUCUGCUAUAUGAAGGGUUUUACCCUGGAAAAAAAAAUCAGAAGCAAGCUUACGGGACGAAACUCCGCCGCCAUGAGGCGGAACCUUGGCGGAACCAAUCUAGGGCUCCGGCGGAGCUGUUCUGCCGGGGAAACUUCCCUCAGGGAGGGGGAAAUCAUCACCAUCGUCAUCGCCAACGAUCCUCUCAUCUGGAGGGGGUCAAUCUCCAUCAACAUCUUCACCAACACCAUCUCCUCUCAAAACCCUAGUUCAUCUCCUGUAUCCAAUCUUGUAUCAAAACCACAAAUUGGUACAUGUGGGUUGCUAGUAGUGUUGAUUACUCCUUGUAGUUGAUGCUAAUUGGUUUACUUGGUGGAAGAUCAUAUGUUCAGAUCCUUAAUGCAUAUUAAUACUCCUCUGAUCAUGAACAUGAAUAUUCUUUGUGAGUAGUUACGUUUGUUCUUGAGGACAUGGGUGAAGUCUUGCUAUUAGUAGUCAUGUGAAUUUGGUAUUCGUUCGAUAUUUUGAUGAGAUGUAUGUUGUUUAUCCUCUAUUGGUGUUAUGUGAACGUCGACUACAUGACACUUCACCAUUAUUUGGGCCUAGAGUAAGGCAUUGGAAAGUAAUAAGUAGAUGAUGGGUCGCUAGAGUGACAUAAGCUUAAACCCUAGUUUAUGCGUUGCUUCGUAAGGGGCUGAUUUGGAUCCACUAGUUUCAUGCUAUGGUUAGGUUUACCUUAAUACUUCUUUCGUAGUUGCGGAUGCUUGCAAUAGGGGUUAAUCAUAAGUGGGAUGUUUGUCCAAGAAAUGGCAGUACCCAAGCACCGGUCCACCCACAUAUCAAAUUAUCAAAGUACCGAACGCGAAUCAUAUGAGCGUGAUGAAAACUAGCUUGACGAUAAUUCCCAUGUGUCCUCGGGAGCGCUUUUCUCAUUAUAAGGAAUUUUCCAGGCUUGUUCUUUGCUACAAAAAGGAUUGGUCCACCUUGAUGCACUUUAUUUACUUUCAUUGCUUGUUACCCGUUACAAAUUAUCUUAUCACAAAACUAGAUGUUACCUACAAUUUCAGUGCUUGCAGAGAAUACCUUACUGAAAACAUCUUAUCAUUUCCUUCUGCUCCUCGUUGGGUUCGACACUAUGAUAGAUCCCCUAUACUUGUGGGUCAUCAAGAAUCUUUUCUGGCGCCGUUGCCGGGGAAUGAAGCGCCUUUGGUGAGUGGAACUUGGUAAGGAAACAUUUAUAUAGUGUGCUAAAAUUUUCUGUCACUUGUUACUAUGGAAACUAAUCCUUUGAGGGGCUUGUUCGGGGUAUCUUCACCCCGACCAGAAGAGGAAAGAGUUGCUCCUCAACCUACUGAACCUACUGAAAAUGUUUACUUUGAGAUUCCUUCGGGUAUGAUAGAGAAACUGCUAGCUAAUCCCUUUGCAGGAGAUGGAACAUUGCAUCCCGAUUUACACCUUAUCUUUGUGGAUGAAGUUUGUGGAUUAUUUAAGCUUGCAGGUAUUCCCGAUGAUGUUGUCAAAAGUAAGGUCUUCCCUUUAUCUUUAAAGGGAGAUGCAUUGACAUGGUAUAGGCUAUGUGAUGAUACGGGAUCUUGGAACUAUAAACGAUUGAAGUUGGAAUUUCACCAGAAGUUCUAUCCUAUGCAUCUUGUUCAUCGUGAUCGUAAUUACAUAUAUAAUUUCUGGCCUCGCGAAGGAGAAAGCAUCGCUCAAGCUUGGGGGAGGCUUAAGUUUAUAUUCAUGCCCCAAUCAUGAGCUCUCAAGAGAAAUGAUUAUUUAAAAAUUUUAUGCUCGGCUUUCGCUCAAUGAUCACACCAUGCUUGAUACUUCCUGUGCUGGUUUCUUAUAUGCUGAAGGCUACUGAAUUCAAGUGGGAUUUAUUGAAAAGAAUUAAACGCAACUCUGAAGAUUGGGGUUCCGACGAUUGUAAGGAGUCAGGUAUAACACCUAAGUUGGAUUGUGUUAAAUCUUUUAUGGACACUGAUGCUUUUCAUGGAUUUAGCGCUAAAUAUGGACUUGACUCUGAGAUAUUAGCUUCUUUCUGUGAAUCUUUUGCUACUCACGUUGAUCUCCCUAAGGAGAAGUGGUUUAAAUAUAAUCCUCCCAUUAAAGUAAAAGUAGUUGCACCUAUUACUGUUGAAGAAAAGAUUAUCACUUAUAAUGAUCCUAUUGUUCCUACUACUUAUGUUGAGAAACCACCUUUUCCUGUUAGGAUAAAGGAUCAUGCUAGAGCUUCAACUGUUGUUCGUAAGAGUAAUACUAGAACAUUUACACCUCAUGAGAAAAUUAAAGUUGAACCUAGUAUUGCUAUGGUUAAAGAUCUCUUGGAUGAUAAUAUAGAUGGGCAUGUUAUUUACUUCUAUGGUGAAACUACUAAUAUUGCUAGACCAGAUGCUAAGAUACAUAGAUCUAUUGUAGGCAUGCCUGUUAUUUCUGUUAAAAUAGGAGAUCAUUGUUAUCAUGGCUUAUGUGAUAUGGGUGUUAGUGCUAGUGCAAUACCUCAUUCCUUAUAUGAAGAAAUUAUGCAUGAUAUCACACCCGCUGAAAUAGAAGGUAUCGUUGUUACUAUUAAGCUUGCCAAUAGAGAUACUAUUUCACCAGUUGGGCUUGUUAGAGAUGUUGAAGUCUUGUGUGGAAAUGUUAAAUAUCCUGCUGAUUUUCUUGUUCUUGGUUUCCCACAAGAUGACUUUUGUCCCAUUAUAUUUGGUAGACCCUUCUUGAAUACUAUUAAUGCUAAGAUUGAUUAUGAAAAAGGACGUUGUUACAAUUGGCUUGGGGAUAUGAAACAUCAGUUUAAUUUUGCUAAGUUUUGUAGACAACCCCGUGAUAAAGAAUUGGCUUGGGUUAUGCGUCUGAUCAAGCUUCACUCUGCCAUUAACUAUCAGCCCUUGCUCAUAACCACCUCAUAUUUAUAGCAGAGGUUGAUUUGUCCAUUGAAGCCAUUUCCCUAGAGUCUGCCAAGGAAGCACUAUAUCUUCAUAAUGCAGAUCGUCAGAGUUUCUCUCAGGAUGUUGAAGGUGUUCAGGUUGCUUCUCGUGUUUAUCCUCUGGCCGGCAACACUCGUCGUGCACGCACUGAAGCCACAGAAAGCACCAUUGCUCCAAGGCCUCGGAAGCACUCUUGUGUGCUCAAUGACCGAGAGUUUCUCGUGGCUUUGCAUCAAAAACAUGACAAGCAUCACUACUGGAUGAAGAGUCAAAUCCAAAGCCUCUUGGUGGAUGUCAAUCGCAUUCGCAAUCUUGCCACCAAGAACGCCUUUAUCACUCAUGAAACCUGUCGGAGGACUUGGAAGGGUUUGACACUGCUCAGUGCUAAAGCUGAUCUUCAAGACGAUGGCUUCACCGAAAGAUUCAAGUUUGACUCCACUCCUCCCAGGAAUGCUGUUUUACGAUGAACCCCGUCUCUUGAAGAUUUAGAGUACUCUUCGUCCGCAGCCACAGUAAAUGCCAGAGUUAUUGAUGAAGCCGAUGAUGCUACUUCACCACCGCCAACAUCAGCACGUGUCGACACUGCACCAAGUUCUUCUGCACCACCAGACCUCAACGACGACCCUACUGCUUCACCUACUCCUCAUGGGAACGAGUAGAGACUAUGUCUUCAAACCUUUUUGGUCCUUACUGAUAAAAGGGGGAGAAGCAUAGGUUGAUAGUCUUCAAGCGGGUCCAUAUGGGUGGUUGCUAUACUUUUGCCCAGUGUUUACAACUCUCAUUUUUGAUACAUUUGGUUCUUUUAGUUGUAACACUUAAACUUGAUGGUCGUCUGCUACUUUUUCUGCUAUUCUAUGAUGUGAUGAUAAAUCCCGCAUGAAGUCAUUUCGCAGACGUCCAUUUUUCAUUAUGCAUGUCAUUAUUCCUAUAUAUCUGAUCAUGCAUGAUGUAUUGUCUUCGUAUGGUGAAGAGGAUCUCCACAAGUACAACCUGCCAUGUGCAUUUGCAUUCCAACGCAAAACAUUUAUAUGCACAUCUUCAGGGGGAGCCUUUUGCCACUUAUGAAGACAAUAUCUUAAUCCUUUACAGUUUCACAUACUUUUAUCCCCAUUGAAAACUUCAACCAGUUUGUCAUCAAUCGCCAAAAAGGGGGAGAUUGUAAGUGCAUCUAGUGCCACCCCUAGUUGGUUUUGGAGUAUUGACGACAAACCUAGUUAAGGGACUAAUGUGUUUGUGAGAAUUGCAGGAUAACACAGGUAGUAGUCCCUCAUUGAUUCGGUUUACCUACUGGAGAUGACCCAUAAAAAUGUGUGAAGACAUUGAAAACAAUGGUGGUCUGUGAAGAUGUUCACAUUGAAGACUAUGACACGGGAAGACAUUGAGUGAAGACUAUGGAGCGCGAAGACUUAGUUGUUUCAUUGUUUCCUUUUCUUAUUUGUUGAGUCAUAGGAACCACCGCACUGAAGUGAUGCUCAACCAAACCCUAUGUCUUCGAGUGAAGACAAUGAGAGCAAAUCUUAUCCAGAGUCGGAUGAGUCAGCUUGACUUGUAGCCCAAGUCAAGCUGCCGCGUGUGUUUGAAAUCUGACCGUUGCGACACGUGUCAGUUCCUUAGUGACCCAGGGUCAUUUUGGACAAAUCAGGUCGGGUUGCCCAGUGGCUAUAAAUAGCCCACCCCCUACACAAUAAAUUGGUGGCUGCUCAGAGUUAGAUACAACUUUUGUUGUUUGAGAGCAACCCACCUCCGAAGCUUUUGAGAGAGAAUCCUUGCAAGGACAAAGUCCAAACCACCCAGAGCCCAAAGAGUGUUUGGCAUCACUGAAGUCUUUCUGUCCGCGCGAUCUGAAGACUUGUUACACUUGAGGACUGUGAAUCCUCCAGCCGGUUAGGCAUCAUGUUCUGAGCAUCCAAGAGCCAUUGUGGAUUGCCGGUGAACGAAGUCUAUGAAGGUUCGGAAGUCUACCUUGAAGACUUAGCAGAGUGAUUGGGCGGGGACUAGGUGUCCUUAGCUCAAGGGGAAUAAGGUGAAGACGCGUUCUUCUGAGUUAAAUCUCAACCUCCCUAACCAGAUGUACAGUUGUCACAGCAACCGGAACUGGUCGAACAAAUCCCUGUCCUCCUAAAGCUACUGGUUCUAUCUCUCACUUCUCUCUACUUACAGUUUGUCUUCGUGAAGUCAUUGCCUGCUUGCAUUAUCUGUUUGACUUCACUGUGUGACUACAUGAUCUGAUUGGCUUCAUACUAUCUUCCAUCCUGAUCCUUACUACCUAGAUGCUAAUAGUCUUCAUGCUUUCACUUCAUUGAAUACUUGACUAUGGCUUGUCUAGUGUAGUCUACCUUCCACUGCAUUUGAAUAGUGUUGUUUCUAUUGUUUGUCUUCAAAACUCCCAUGUUUUGAAGACUUUCAUAAAAAUCGCCUAUUCACACCCCCCUCUAGUCGAUAACUAGCCCUUUCAAUUGGUAUUAGAGCAAGGUACUCCCUUGUUCUGUGUCUUUCGGUUUAACCACCUGGAGUUUAGCUAUGUCGACUGCAGGUAUAAUCAAAGUCUCCGCUGCGUGCCCCAUCUUCGAUGGCACUGAGUAUCCCUACUGGAAGAAUAGGAUGCGCAUGCAUCUUGAAGCCAUUGAUGUCGAUCUCUGGUAUGUUAUCAAGAAUGGCGUUCCCAAGACUGGUGAAGGUGUCACCCCUGCUGAUGUCAAGAAGUUCAUUCAACUGGACUCUAAUGCCAAGAACAUCAUCUGUGGUCAUCUGACCAAAGGGCAGUAUGGCCGUGUGAGCGCUCUGGAAACGUCGAAGCUAGUCUGGGACUGGCUCUCCAAGGCCAAUGAAGGCAUCUCAACUCAGCAUGAUCAAAGAAUCAGUACUCUCUGCAACCUCUUCAACCGCUUCAAAAGACACGACAACGAGAACGUUCAGCUCACAUUUGAUCGCCUCAGUGAUAUCACAAAUGAGCUCCGUGCACUCGGUGCAACUGACAUUACGAAGCAUGAAAUAGUGAAGACACUGCUGAGAUCUCUUGACAGCUCAUUUGACACCUUAGCCCCAAUGAUACAAGAACGCCCUAAUUUCAAGACACUCGAUCUGUCUGACAUAGUUGAGAGGCUCAACACACAUGAGUACCAGCUAUGUGAGAAACGAGAUAUCUAUGGUCCCAACUAUGGCCAAACUCGCGCUUUGAAGGCAAAGGCUGCUGCUUCCUCAUCUGAAGAAGAAUCUGACUGCAGUUCUGGUGAUCCCGAAGAUAUUGGAAAGGAGCUUGCUAUGCUUGUGAAGAAGUUCCAGAAAUUCACUAGGAAGAAAAGCUUCAGAAAGUCUUCACGAUCCAGCUCAAGGGAUGAUGAAGCUCCCACCCAUGACAGCAAGAAAAGAACCUAUCAGAAGUGCAAGAAACCUGGCCACUACAUCUCUGAAUGUCCACAGUGGGACAAUGAGAAGAAGAAGAAGAAGAGCAAAGAAUAUGAUUCUGAUGACAAGAAAAAGAAGAAAUCCUCAAAGUCUUCUUCCAAAUCUUCCUCCAAGUCUUCAUCGCACAAGAAGAGUUCAUCAGGAAAGGCACGUGCUUUUGUUGGCAAGGAAAUGGUUUCAUAGGAGGAGUAUGCUUCGGAGGAGUUGGUGGAGUCUGAGGAGGAGUCCGACUCUGGUGUCGCAAGUCUGGCUAUAGCUACAGCUUACGUCGCCAAGUCCAUCUUCAACACUGAAGACAAUGGCUCCGUCACCAACGCUGAUGACGAGAAUGACUCGAAUCCCACCUACUGCUUCAUGGCACGUGGUGCCAAGGUAAACUUUUGUGAUGCUUACUUUCAAACAUCAAGUGAAGAUGACUCUGACGGUGAAUCCAAACCUAGCUAUAAAAAACUUGCUAAAAUUGCAACUGAACAAUAGAAAGCUAUGGAACAUAUUCAAAAACUGUUAGACAAAAGCGAUGACCUGUUGGACGCGGAAAUGACUAAGACUCAGUCCUUAAUUGAAGACAUAAAAAAUCUUCAUGUUAAGUAUCAGGAACUUGAAGGUCGACAUGAAUCGCUCUCAACUUCUCAUGAAAAGCUUUCCUAUGAUUAUCUUCAAAGGAAGCAGGAACUUGAGAAAUUGAGAUCGGAUCAUGAAGAUCUUCAAAAGGAGAAUGAUUCACUUCGUGCUCAACAGACCAGUCCCGCUCAGGAAGGAUUUGAACCACCAUGUUUAAAAUGCAUUGAGCGUGAUAACGCUACCUCUGUUGCUGAAUGCUCUACUGCUACUGCUAUUGCAAUAUCUUCAAAUGCUGAAGUGGUAACUAACCACUCUAUUAAGGAUACCACUACUAUUGCUAAUGAGAAUGCCAGGUUGAAGAUACUGCUUGAGACAGGGAUGUACAAAAGUCUCAAAGGGCAUCAGACAUUAUGUGAUGUCCUCAAAAAGAAGAUUCUAAACCGAAACCCUAGGAAAGAGGGUGUUGGGUUUGAGAGGAAAAUGAAUGUUGAUGGGUCGUACUGGAAGCCUAAGCAGUACCCCAAAACCACAUGGGUUGCUAUAAAGGAACCUUCAGGAGAUCCAUCCACCUUAUCUGGUUUCACUUAUGCUAACCCCAUUAUCAUUGAUGAAUCCUUUGAUGCAAACUAUAAACUGUUUAAGAAUCAGAAUGGUGAAGUGUUUGCUAGGUAUAUUGGUACUAAUUGCAGGAAUGGACCACCUAUGAAGAAGAUAUGGGUACCUAAAAUUGUUCUUGAGAAUCUUCCAGUGAAUGUCAUCAUGACACCACCUGUGAAGAAGACAAACCCCAUACCAAAGGCUUCAUAUGGUCCUAAAGCUUCAUACAUACCGUGGACUCAUUCGAGUCACCCUAACGUCAAUGUUUUGCAGGGAAAUCAUACUCAGACCCAUGAAUAUGAGCGUGUUUCAUCAAACCGCUAUGUUCAUAGAACUAAGAACUUUUUCUGCUUAUUCACAUGAGUAUUAUUCACCCCCUGCAAGGCUAUUUACUAGGGCUCCAAAGCCGAAGUUCUUAGAUGCUGCACUUAGACUCAUUGCUUCUAAGCCACCCCUGAAGAUGUGGGUGGUUAAGAAAACUUAACUCUCUUUUGCAGGGAAAGGUCUCCAGCCGGAAAUCAAAAACAUCCAAAGCUAAUGCUGGAGACCUUAAAAACCUUGUAGGGCGCAAGAUAAAAUGAUCAAGUGGUCUUACCAUGUAUUUCACUCCAGAUUUCCUUGACACUCAUCCUGUCUAUCCUAACCAAGACAUGAAUUUCCAUGUUCCACUUGUUUGUCAAAUGUUUCUGCUUCACAACUCACUUGGUGAAGCCUAUCCCCCAAACCGCAUUGUAGGCUACGACACCUCGUGCUUCAGAAUGGAUUAUGGACAAUGGAUGCACUAAUCACAUGACUGGCGAUCGAAGUCUUCUGAUGGAUUCAACGCUACGUCCAUCAGACAAGAGCCACAUCACAUUUGCUGACACUGGUAAAAGCAAGGUAUUGGGUCUAGGUAGAGUUGCAAUGUCAAGGGAUCAUCACAUGGAUAAAGUGAUGCUUGUUGAAUCCCUUGGUUUCAACUUAAUGUCUGUCUCAAUGCUUUGUGACUUAAACAUGAUUUUGCUAUUUGGAAAAUAUCACUGCCUUGUACUGAUGGAAUCUGACAAGUCUCUAGUCUUUGAAGGAUAUCGAAAAGAUGAUUUGUAUAUGGUAGAUUUCUCAGCAGGACCACAGAUGGCCGUAUGUCUUCUAGCAAAAGCUUCAGAAUGUUGGCUUUGGCAUCAAAGGCUAGGGCAUGCUGGCAUGAGGAACUUGCACAUUCUCGCAAAGAAGAAGCAUGUUGUGGGCAUCAAAGGUGUCAAGUUCAGGAAGGAUCAUCUAUGUGGCGCCUGCUAAGCUGGAAAUAUAACAAGAGCCAAGCUUCCCUCGAAGACAAUCAUGACCACGUGUCAACCCUUCGAGCUGCUGCACAUGGACUUAUCUGGCCCUACUCACUACUCCACUCUCAAUGCUACUGCUUUCCUCUACUCCACUCUCAAUGAUUACUCUCGAUACACUUGGGUGAAUAUAAUCCUCUACAAAACUAAAGUGCAGGAUGUCUUCAGACGCUUUGCUAAUCGUGCCAUGACGAACUAUGGCGUCAAGAUCAAGCACAUCAGAAGCGACAAUGGCACUGAGUUCAAGAACACUGGCCUCGACCUCUAUCUGGAUACACUUGGUAUCACUCAUGAGUUCUCGGCUCCUUAUACACCUCAGCAGAAUGGCAUCGAUGAGACUAACGGCUCACAAAGAGAGCACCUGCCAAAUGUGCUAGAUGAAUUAUCCCCUAGCGAGUCAAUCAAGCGAAUGGGAACUAGAGAAAUCAUACCCUCUAAGAAUCAGACUGAAGAAGAACUGAUCGUUUCUGCAUCCACUCAACUUGAAGACAAUGCUCAACCUAAAGAUAAUCCCCCAAAUGAUGACAUUGAUCAGAAUGAGCAAAAUCUUCAUCCUGCUCAUUCUCGUGUUGCAAAUGAAGUACAGAUUGAGAAGAUGAUCUAUAGUCUCAAUACACCUGGUCCACUCACUCGUUCAAGAGCCACACAAAGAGCAACACAACUCACCAAUUUCCGUGGACAUUUUGCAUUCGUCUCAAUCUCGGAACCGAAGAAAGUCGCUGAAGCCUUCAUGGAACCUGAAUGGAUUCAAGCAAUGCAAGAAGAGCUUCAACAGUUUGAGUUAAAUAAUAUGUGGGAAAUGGUCAAGCGUCCUGAUCCUCAGAAGGCACAAUAUCAUUGGAACCAAAUGGAUAUAUCGCAACAAGCAAGAUGAGCAUGGUCAAGUGGUCAGAAACAUAGCUCGUCUCGUUGCACAAGGUUACACUCAAGUGGAAGGAAUUGACUUCGAUGAAACAUUUGCUCCGGUGGCAAGACUUGAAGCCAUUCGCAUACUGCUAGCCUAUGCAAAUCAUCACAACAUCCUUCUGUAUCAAAUGGAUGUGAAGAGCGCCUUUCUCAAUGGAAAGAUAGAAGAUGAAGUAUAUGUCGCACAACCUCCUGGCUUUGAAGAUCCAAAACAUCCUGAUAUGGUAUACAAGCUCAACAAGGCACUGUAUGGCCUCAAAAAAGCCCCUCAUGCUUGGUAUGACACGCUCAAAGACUUCCUGAAGAGCAAAGGCUUCAAACCUGGUUCACUAGAUCCUACUCUCUUCACGAAGACAUAUGAUGGUGAACUGUUCGUAUGCCAAAUCUAUGUGGAUGACAUUAUCUUCGGCUGCACCAACAAGAAAUACAGUGAUGAGUUUGGUCACAUAAUGCAAGAGCAAUAUCAGAUGUCCAUGAUGAGUGAACUGAAGUACUUUCUGGGUCUCCAAAUUCAUCAACAACGCAAUGGUAUCUUCAUAUCUCAAGAAAAAUAUCUCAAAGAUUGCCUGAAGAAGUUUGGAAUGCAAGACUGCAAAGGAUACACGACGCCAAUGCCAACCAAAAGUCAUCUGGGUCUCGACGACAAUGGUAAAGAGUUCGAUCAAAAGGUAUACCGCUCCAUGAUUGGUUCUUUGCUUUAUUUAUGUGCAUCUAGGCCCGAUAUAAUGCUUAGUGUUUGCAUGUGUGCCCGAUUCCAAGCGGCACCAAAGGAUCGCAUCACUUAGCUGUGAAGCAAAUUCUUCGAUAUUUGGCUUACACCCCAACACUAGGAUUGUGGUAUCCAAAGGGCUCAGAAAUUUGAUCUAGUUGGAUUCUCAGAUGCUGAUUAUGCUGGUGAAAAGGUUGAUCGCAAGUCCACAUCAAGAACAUGUCACUUUCUAGGAUGAUCACUUGUCUGUUGGUCUUCAAAGAAGCAGAACUGUGUAUCUCUCUCCACUUCUGAAUCUGAAUACAUUGCUGUUGGAUCUUGCUGUGCUCAGCUUCUCUGGAUGAAGCAAACUCUCAAGGACUAUGGUAUACACCUGAAGAAUGUGCCUCUCUACUGCGACAAUGAGAGUGCCAUCAAGAUUGCCAACAACCUAGUUCAGCACUCGAAGACAAAGCACAUUGAGAUUCGUCAUCACUUUCUCAGAGAUCAUGUUAUGAAGGAAGAUAUUGAUAUCAUUCACGUCAACACUGAAGAGCAAUUGGCUGAUAUCUUCACAAAGCCCUUGGAUGAGAAAACAUUUUUCAAGUUGCGGUGUGAGCUAAAUAUCUUGGAAUCCUCAAAUGUCCUAUAAAUUGGACACACAUCCUAACAGUUAUGCAUUUUGAUGACUUAGAUGUGCAACACACAAAGUAAGGUAUAUCUUCAAUCAAUGAAGACAUACACUCUAAGUGUGAAUACAUUAAUGCGGAAUUUGACUUCGGAGUGCCAUGAUAAUUGUGCGCCGUGUCUGGGUCUAAUACUUCCUAUACGGUGGGUAACACCACCACCAAACUUUUGUUUGAAGUGUUUCUCUUGGCGUUAUGUUUGCAAAGUCUUCAUAAUUGAUUUGUCUUCAUCCCUGACUUGUAUUCAAGUUUAUCUUCAUUUGGUUGAUUUGGCCUUAAACUAGUUAUAUACUACUUGUGUUAUGUCCUCUACAGCGUUCACUUAUAGCUAUGACUUCUUGUUGAAUCUUUUGAUCUAAGUGAAUGUGAUCGGACCCUAACCUAUCUAUGCUUCUACCUCAACUCUAUCUAUCCAAAUCAUAUGCAUUCUAUUGAAAACCGUCAAUUGUCUUCACUGAACCUUGUCAGAUGAAGUCAAUCAGACAAACAUUUAUAUCUGCUUUUAAUGACAUAUCCUUUUUGCCUGAAACCCGGAGAAUUUGGAACGACCACCCUGACAAUCCAGGCGUGUGUGGGAACAUGAAACAACUUCCAAGGUGUUGCAUGCUUGCUACGUGUUCAUCAGAUGUGAACUGCCAGGGGCACCUGUGUAAUUGCGCUAUGCCAUCUCUUUCCUUAUAAAUACCCGUCACGUCUCGGUCAAAAAUUCUUCUUCCUCCUCGCCACCUCUCACAAACCCUAGCGCCUCUGCUAGGUCUCGACGAUGCCGGCGAUGAAGCGCUUAGCUGACGCAACUUCUCCGAUGCCGUCCUCACGCCGGCCGCGGACCUCGUCCUCUCCGCCUUCACCGUAGGUGUCCUCCGUCGCCAAGUUAGGGCACGGAAGAUCGAACUACUCGGCCUCCACCUUCGCUCCAUCUAGCAGUUCUUCGUGUGGUAAUUAAAUUUCACUUUUUACCGUCUUUUCGAAUGAUAGAAUCAUCCUUAUUUACCAAAAGUGGUUUCUAGAUCUCCAAGUUGAAUCUAUCUCUUUCUGCAUCUCAUACUCUGCCUAGUCUAUUCACUUAUGUUUUGUUACAAGUUAGAUUCCUCACUUGCACUUAUUCUUGGAUUUGUACAACUCUAGAACCAACUCUCAUCAAAUAAGUGAAUGUCUUCACGUUAUGAGGUCAAUGUCUUCAAACUGAUUUAUCUUCAAAAUCUUCUGAGAAUGCAUAUGACCUCUUCCCCUUACCUCGCAUCUCUAAUGCUGUCACAGGUACAUGUCCAUGGGAGAAUCCCUUGGUUCUCAUAGUCUGCAUUCGUUUGCAGAAUUCUUACAUAGUCACAUCAAUUCACCUGAAGCCAGUUCUUGUCUGACCAGCCGUCUGAAGCCCUUGCAAGUACUGAAGCCUUUCAGAUUAAGCUUCAUGUCCACUGAGAAGUCAGCAAGAAAGGGAGGCAGACAGCGCCGUGGGAACACUUCCAAGGAUUUGACUCCAGAUUUGCACGAGCUGUACAAAACAGACCCUGAGGAAACCUAUACAGGCCGCAAGAAUUGAAUCCAAUGGAUUCGAAGAUAUUGGGCAGAGGAAUGGUUCAAGUACCGCUUCGUCACAGAAGAGUAUGCAGAGAAGAAUGCCAUCAAAGGACCCUGGGGAGAUAUUGUGUACAAAAAUCUUCAACCCCAGUCCCUUCCUGAAGCCAUUCAACGAGAAUUCUAUCCUUGCAUGAUUCAUGGACCGCAACUAGAGAACGCUGACCCUCACUACAAAAAAAAUACACUUCCGUGAUGAUACGUGUUUGUCACAGUAGGUCACGUCUUUUGUCAUGCAUGUACAUCCAUGACAAAUUUAUGACAGAAUCAAGAUAGUCAUACCUGUGCUGUCGUAGAAGUGUUCCAUGACAUUACCAAAAUUAUCAUCACGGAAGUGUCCACUUCCACGACGAUAAAUCGUGCGUCACAGAACUUCUUUCGUCAAGGGUGACCGACAUGUGGCAUCCACCAUAACGGAACGCCAUUAAGCUAUCGGAUCGGGUUUUGGAUCCGAUAACCUGUUAACAACCCCAACCAAUGGGGAUUUUCCACAUGUAAAAUCUUCAUUGGUUGGAGGAAACACGUGUCGGCUCACCGUUGGGAUAGAUGUCAUCCACUCAUUGGACAGAAGGCGCCUAUGAUACGUCGACUGGCACGGCCCAAUAGAGGCCCAUUCCUGUGAAAAGGCCGGCCCGUUUGACUUGGUCAAAAGGUGGCGGGCCGGCCCACAGAAAGCCUGUUAACGGCCUGUUCGCAUAUAGCCCAUUUACAACCCGCUAACCGAGGGCCCGUCACGCCCUAUCCGAAUUAGGCCCAGUAGCGUCAUCUGGGCCGUCCAAUAUGAUUCAGCCAGUUUUAACUUCCGGCCCAUGUGUGGCCCAUGACUUCUUUCGGCCCAUAUGAGGACCUUUGUAACUCUUGGCCCAUUAACGGCCCGUGGUGAAACUGGCCCGUAAUGAAUAGUGUAUCACUUUAUACCCAUUAACGGCCCGUUAUUCCAUUGGGCCAUUUCCAGCCCAAGUUAUCUUUCGGCCUUCUCAGGUCCCAUUGAUUCUUGGGCUCAUUUACAACAUUCGGUUACAUACAACCCGUUACUGUCAUUUUCUGCUUGUGGGCCAAAUUCAGCCCGUCGUUACAGUCGGCCCGUUUGCGGACUGUUAAUACGUUGGGCCGUUUUCAUGUAAAAAAACCCGUUGGGCUGUUUUCAUAGAGUUAUCAAAUACGGCCUAUUAACGGCCCGUUAUGGUCCAUGAAUAGUACGACCCAUGAUUGGCGAAAUGAUGAUAUGCCCCACAGAAGGCCCAUGGAUCCUACGGCCCGUAUGAGGCCCAUGGAUGGUACGACCCAUAGAAGGCCCAUGGACCCUACGGCCCGUAGAAGGCCCAUUGAUCCCUAAGGCCCGUAUAGAAGGCCGAUGGAUCCUACGGCCCGUAUAGAAGGCUAAUGGUCCUACGGCCGAACGAAGGCCCAUGGAUCAUACGGCCUGCAGGAGGCCCAUGGUUACAACAGUCCGUGUGUUGCCAUGAUUAUUUUGGCCUAGUUACCAAAGAUAGGCUAUUGUGGCCACUAGAAAAACACAAAAAAGGAACUGCAGUGACUACAAGCAAACAACUAAACAAGACAAUAAGGAAAUUAAUAAGCAAGCAAUUAAGGCUAGCCUAUUACCGCUAUUACACAUAUUACAUCCACUGGGCAUCAAAGUUCGCCACCAGUGCAAAUAUAGGGAACAAAGUAGCAUAUUACAUACACUUGGCCGUCAAAAUUGGCCACCAGUGCAAAUAAACGCGGCAGCAAAACAAGAGCAUAACUGAAACAACUUUAGAAGAGCUCAAGAAACGUUAUCCUGGGUAUCCACCAUGCUGGCAAUAAGCUUAGCAAGCUGAUUAGUUUUGUCCUGUUUGGCGCUAAAAUCCUCCAACGCUUGCUGUUGCACCAGAAAGUAUGCAUCUGAAUGCUCCAGGGACUUCCACACUCCUUCCGCUUCUUGUCGCAGCACAGCUGAUCGAUGUCUUUUAGCUUGUAGUUGAGACUCAAGAAACCGAACUGAUUCAGACAGUGAGUUUGAAUAGCUUGUGCAUGCGGUAGUGGCCAGUAACUCGAACACUAAACCAAGACAGGACUUUGGGGUUGUCUCGCUGUCUUCAAGAUAGUCUUCCUUAGCUGUUUUAUCAGCUUUGUUGGAGACCAACAAGGAUGUGUCACUAUCCUGAACCUUAUCUGCAUUACUUCCUUUACCAUUGCUUUAAUAAGGCACUCUUCCCCAAUAUUCUGUCAGCAUUCUAAAAGAAGAAACAAGCAGACACAUAACAAAUUUAGCAUGUACUAGUAUAUGAAACUCAUUUCUGUGAACCAGUUCAUUAGUAAGGUGGACAGGAUUAAACUACCAAGUCUUCUAUUGCCAAGUACUAGUACAUAAUAAAAGCAUCAAACAAACAUAUAUCUAUGUCCUAUGGUCACUGCAUUUUCUUGCCAAAUCAAAACAGAGACACGGUUCAAAUCAUAUCAGUUCAAGACAAAGCAGUAGUGAAAGAAUACAAAGCGUGAGAAACUACACGGCACAACAAGAUUUCAGAUGGGUACCAUGGGUCUACAUGUACAACAACACUAUUGACUCUGUUGUGAUGCUAGUAAUGUGCAUGAUAUGAAAGUCAACUGUAUACACAAUUGAAAUUGAAAUCAACAGAGCUAUUGAUGAGAGCAAACCUAUUAAAGAAACAUGUGUGAAAAUACCUGUUGUGCCAUUGGAGUUUCGAUUGGAUCCUUCAAUUUAAAAAUAAGUUUGUAUCAGUAAAUACAGUGAUACAAGAGCAAAGCAAUCAUAGUUAAAAAAAGGCGUGCCUAAGCGAGCGCUUAAGCGCGCCUAGUCUCUAGGCGUUGGCAAAACGCAUUGCGCAUAACUACGCAUAAUCUAUGCAUAACUACGCAUAAGCAUGCGCUUUGGUCAGUAAAGCGCAAGGCGGUGGCAAAACGCACAAUUAACGCCUAGCGCUUUUUUGAACUAUGAUAGCAAUGGAAUCUUAAAUUAGAACAAUUGUUCUUCAGGUUUAGGCACUUGUUCUACAUGAAUAGAGUACAGUAAGACACAAUAAUAAAAUACUUAAAAAUAGAAAAUGAGCUCAUAGACCUUACCACAUUCUUGGUUCGGGACCAGUAUAGAACAAGGCGUUCCCAGUCAUCAUCCAGUAAAUGUGUCUCAGGAGAACGUAAGGGAAUUUGAUGAGUUACUUUGCCGAUGAAGUACGUUUUCUUCAGGUAAUUCCGAUACUGCCACCAAGCAUUCUUGAAGAUAGCAGAGGUAUUAGCACAGGUUACCUCAUCCUGAGUUUCCAAAUCGGUCCUUCUCUAUAGAGAAAAAUGGGAAAAUUUGCUGUAUUAUAAUCAUCAUGGAGGUAGGAUGUAUGGGACGAAGCAAAGUAAUUGCCAUAAAUAACAUUACUUACACAUAACUCCUAGACAAACACCUGCAACUGGCAUUUUCCUUCAUCUUCAGUAUAAUAUUUCCAAGAUGGGAAGAUACGCACAUACAAUUUAACAACAUCAAAUGCGAUAGAUUCUAAACUACGACUUGCUGGUUGUGCUUCCUCCACAGGAAUAGGCAUACUAACUGGUGGAGUUGGGGUUCACCGUGAUAGUACUGGACCUUUGGGCACUGGAGCUGCCUUACUAACUACUGUUGUUUGGGAGCUCUGUGGUGGAGAUGGUGCUGUGUCAACAGGAACUGGGUUACUAUCGGCUGGGGUUGGGGUUAGAUUGGGUGAAGCUGGUUCUCUGUCCAUCGCAGUAGGGGUACAAUCUACGAGAGUUUGGGUUAUGUGUGGUAGGGCUGGUUCUUGUGCAUGUACAACCGGGGUGCUAUCUCCACCAAGAGGUAGCACUGUUUUAUUUGAAGUCUGUGUUUUUAUUCCGCUAGAUACUGGCAUCACCCGCUCCAAUUCAAAUGGCUGAUAAACAGGAAACAUAGUUGGAUGUACAGACAUUGUAUGAGAGACAGAUGCAAUAGAUAGUGUGGAAAAAAGAGGGCAUGAAAUAGUUGACAUGUAUAUUGUUUAACUAAAACGGAUAGCAUGACAUAAUUUCACAUAUAUGAUGUCUAUCUAAACUAGAUAUCAUAGCAUAACAUAAUUCAAAGAUAUGAUGAAUAACUAAACAGGAUCGUAUGACAUAAUUCACCUACAUGUUAUCUAAGUAAUCAGGAUCACAUCAUUUAAUUCACAUAUGUGAUUUAUAUGCUAAACAGAGGGCAUUCGAUAUGAUGUCCAAACUAAGAACAUGGUGUUGAAUAUUGUGUAUAUGAUGUCUAAACUAUGCAAUGCAAGACACUGUAUGCAUGAUAUGAGCAGUAUAACCAUGCUAAGUUAGAGCAUACACCUCAGUGGGGGAAUAGGACUGGUCAUCUGUCUCUGAAUCCAUCUCCGAGGAGCUAUCGGGACCCAACAAGAGAUCUGCUUCGAUAGGUAGCACUGUCUUCUCUGAAGGCCUUGUUUUCACUCCAGAUUUUUCCAUCUCCCACCCAAAUGGAUGAUUCACAGGAAGAGUAGUUUAAUGUACAAACAUUGUCGACAAAUGGAAAUGUAAUGAAGAAAAGGAUGGGCAAGAUAUCAUUCAAAUAUAUGAUGCCUGGUUAAACAGGAUGUCAUUGCACAUUUCACAUAUAUUAUGGCUGGCUAAAAGACAUGAGACUGCAUAAUUCCCAUAUAUGAUAUAGAAACUAAACAGGUGGCAUUAUAGAACAUGUCUAAACUAAGCAGAUGACAUAUAUGAUGUCAAAAGUAGGCACUGCAAGGCAAGAUAUGCAUGAUAUGACUAACAUCAUCAUGCCAAGGUAGAGCAAACACCUUGGGGGGUAAAUAGGAGUGGUCAGCGGCGUCUGAAUACGCCUCAGAACAGAUAUCUUCCUCUGGGUUACAAUCUGGAGAGGGGUGGGGAGGGUUUGCCAUUGAACUCACCAUGGAGCGAUGUCUGCAUGAAAUUGUAUUGUCGCGCAAUACUCUUCUCUUUUUCUCUACAUGUUCAGCAUGACUGUGUACAAUAUCUGACAUGCAUACGAAAAAAAUAUGGUGAGAUUAUGUAAGGAGAGCAUGCAGAAAUUUAGAGUGAUGGUAACAACCAGUGGAUCGACGUUUUUCCAUUGAACCAAAAUAGCCCUAAUGGGUCAACGUGAAUGUAUAGUAAUAACUGAUGCAACAAGUGUACAACCUCUUUGCCGUAGCCGUGUCGACCUCAGCAUCAUUGGGUUGGUCACUGAAGCAGUUGAGGCAGAGGUGGCUGUCGGAGGUGUGGAGGAAGAUCUAAGGAAUCUGUAGACGGCGUCCAGGGCACUGCUCUGUUGUGAUGGAUCAUUCUGUCAUUGGAGCAGCUCCGGUGAGCCGUAAGACGUCAAGGCUGAAGCAGCACAAGACAGACAUCGUCAAUCUCAAGUGGGAUUCUAAUAGCAUCUCCAAUAGAUGAUGAAAAAUGGAUGUAAAAUUAACAUCACCAAAAACCACCUGACUACAACAGAUGAGGUAAAAACUGUUGACUCUGAACUUAACUAUCGAAACUGAAAUUAACUGUGGAAUCUGAAUGCUACUGUCGAAACUGAACGCAAUGGUAGCAGAGAGACACUUGACAUGUAGUUUAGGGAGGGCAUGUAGUUCAUCUUCAACCUGCACACCCCUGAGCCGCCUGCCACCACCGGCCCCAGCACCACCUCGCCGCCCCGAAACAACUCGCCACCGCCGCCCCGGCCAGCCCUCUAGGCCCCCCGCCCCCACCCUGAACCCUAAGAUAGAUAGUGGGGUACCUCUCUGGUGAUCCCCCGUCCCUGCUGCGGGUGGUUCUUCCUUAACUCCGGCGAGCCCCCCCUAACCCCUGAAAAUCGACUGAUCCAAAAGUCGAUUCAGUCGACUGAAGUGUGGCUUAAUCGGAGCAGAGCAGCAGCACGAGCGAGGGGGAGAGCAGCAGCAGCAGCUGGGCGAUCGAGCGAGAGCCGGAGCAGCAGCAGCAGCGCGAGCGAGCGAGCGAGAGCUGGAGCAGCAGCAGUAGCGCGAGCUAGCGAGUGAGAGCCGGAGCAGCAGCAGUAGAUCCGGCUGGUAUGGACGCCGCCGCCGAAGGGGCCUCGCACUGGGUGAGAGCCGCCAUGGAGAUGUCGCCUGUUGCGCCGACUUCAAGGUAGCCGCUCCAUGGCGGUGCGGGAUGGAGCACCGUCGGCGCCGAGAGGUCGAGUUAAGGAGAAGGUGCGAUGCGAUGAGUGUACAACCUCUUUGCUGGCGCCGAGUAGGCCUCGGCUUCGUCCGAGGAGUCGAUGAGGAUGCUGCGGUUCCGGUGGAGCAGGUUAAGGUAGCACUGUGGGGAUGGAGCAGCCGCGAUAGACGAGGCGAUCGUCGGAGCAUCUCCUUGGAGGUGGAGGACGGGGCGGCUGAACCGGCGGGAUGGCGAGAUGGACGACGGAUCUUCAUCCGGGGAGGUGGACAAGGGACGUCGAGCUGUUGCGGUGGACGACGUCAUCGGGGAAGAGGCUCCGGCUGGGCAGCGGUGACGUGGCGGACGGAGGAGGAUGGGGUUUCGCGGCUGGAGCGGAGAGGUUAUGGCGGCCUGGGAUUUCGAAUGGCGAAAAGGGGGCGAUGGGAGGGGGUGAAGCAUGACUUAGGGACACGCUUGUCCAAAAUGUAGGGUGUGUUACAAAAGUACCCCCCACCGAUUUGAACUAGCGGCCCUUUAGGCUCAGGGUUAGAAGGGGGAUUUCACGUGUCGGGAUUUGGCAGCUGGAGGGAGUUUUCACAUGUGUUGUAAUUUCGGGAUAGCAAGGCGCGGGUUGUAAAGGCCCCAGUUUUGGGAGCACGAUAUCUGAAUUUUUGGGAUAUAACAAGACGCGGGUUGAAUUUUAGGGACAAGCCUAACGUGUAGUAAUAUUGUACUUUUUUUGACUUCAUAGUAAUAUUGUACUUGUACGUACCAAAUCAAUUCGCACUUCCCUCAACCAAAAAGAAAACGAAAAAAAUAAAACUAUUCACACCACACAAAGAGAGAGUCUUGCCCCGUUUUACUAUACAAAUGCUAUUCAAAGCUACUCCCUCCUUCCAUCUAUAUAGGGCCUAAUGCGUUUUUCGAUGCUAACUUUGACCAAAUAUUAGAGCAAUGAUAUAUGACAUGCAACUUACUCAAAGCACACCGUUAACUUUGUCUGUGAAAGGUUCUUUCAAGGAUAUAAUUUUCACAUUGUGCAUGUCAUGUACUAUUAAUCUUGUCAAUAGUCAAAGGCGGUCUUAAAAAUCUCAUUACGCCCUAUAUAGAUGGAAGGAGGGAGUAUGAAUCCAUGUUAUGUCCGAUUAAUUUUUUUGCUUUGCUGUAUAAUGCAUGUAACCUACUCAUACCAACAUUUUAGUGCAUUCCAAAUGUCUAUACUACCGCUGCAAUUCGAACUAAAUUUGAAUUCGUUUCUCUAUUUCAAUAAGAAUCUACAAUCAUGAUUGUUGCCAACUUCAACCAUCAUAGUUUCCUUGCUAUCCGCCAGAUAUAAAUCGGACGGCCUAUAAUGCAGGAUGGCAGGCACACCAUCAUCAACAACUCCGUUUUUUAUAAGAAUAGAGAUAAAAUAUAUUAAAUGUAGUAUAACAUGUUCAUAAACACACCAUGUGUAUCACCGUUAUAUAUAUUCACACACACGUCGGUUUAAAACACUAUGAUAAAUUCUUCAAAUAUUCGAAUUCGUUUUUUAUAAUGAAGUAUAUAUGAUCUCUAUUCGUCUUUUACACCCACACAACCCUCUUAUCUUUGUAGCUAGCGCUAACUUUCUCUUGUGCAUGCACACGCCUGCAUCCCUCUCACCCUCCCUCAGCAUUAUUUAGCUCCAUCGCGCAAAUUCAUCUUUUCACUUUAGGUCGUUCACCCAUGGUGUGUGUAGGCCCCCAGCUCCUUCUUUACGGCACACAUCGAUCAAUAUGCCUCUCUAGCCAGGUGUGCCUAGCACAAACACAAGCUUCCCCUCUUCUCUUGUCACCGUCCAUGCCUCACUCCCACCACUCUUUUCAUCGUUCUCGUACUCGCACACUCCUCCCCGCUUGAUAUAGUAUGCCUCUCGUACCACCUCCUACAUGCAUCCCUCUAUCUCUAUCCUUCUCCUCGUGCCUCGUUUGCUUCUAACACACACAUGCAUGUAUACCGAUCGAUCUCCCAACAUAUACCUGGACCGACUUUAACUACCCCCCCAUCGAUCGACGUACCUCACAAGUUAUGUCUCUCCUUUCUCUAACAAAGGGCGUUUGAUCUUCCUAUGUAUUUAUGUCUGCUUACUACAGCCACAUCGUCCCCCCUCAUCAUUCGUGCAUGCCUCCUGACCCAUCUCUCACACGCACGUGCACAGACAACAAGCAGCCAUCUCCUCUCUUAUUGAUAUUGCGGGCGUGCCCUCCGUUUGUCUAGCAAGCCUACCCUACCAUUUGUUAGAAGCAACUCCACUACCACCCCCUCCAACACUCUAGCUCUGUCUCUCUCCCAACCUUAUUCCUCUCAUGCACAUAUGCAUGGAUGCCGAUCGAUCUCCCUUAAUACAUGAGGCAGAUCGAUCUCCUUAAUACAUGAGGUAGGCCUCUCUCCUCCUCCACACAUAUAUCAGCCAUUGUACCUCUAUAGUUAAUUGGGCCUCCCUCUUACCCCACCACACACCGAUAGUCGAGCGCUGCAGGUAGGUAUCCAUGCCACAGAGACAAACUGCACAUGUCCCCUCUCACGUUCUAGUAGGCCAACCACUCUAUAUCUUUGACGUGGGCACACACAAAUUCGAUGGCACUCUUUAUCGAUCGCGCGCGCACACACACACAUCAUCCCUCUUUUCGAUUCUAUGGACACCUCAAGCCGGUGAUACCUCCACUCUCUUCUUGUGGAUCGCCCCCUCUAUAUAUAUGUUAUAUCCAGGACUCUAUUUCACACACAUUGCAUAUGUUACAUUUUUUGAUUGAACCCCCCCCCCCAAAAAAAACUCUCAAGAACCCACACACUAUAUCUCUCUAGGUUUGUAUCUCUCUCACACAACCCCGCGUAGGUGGUGUACGUAUACAAGAAGAGAAUAGGUGCACCGUGCACGUACUCACGCUUCGUGCCCAGCCACACCCGCGCGGGUACACGGUGGAGCUCAUUUCUUUAUGAAAUGGCAGCCCACGUGCUAAUUUGAACGCCUGUAGCGGUUGUUUACCUAGGGAGGUCGUGUACCACACCUGCACGAAACAAAGUUCGACUUGACGCGUUGCCGCGUUAUUUUUAAAUAAAGUUAUAGCACUCAAUGGCAUGUACACAGAAUAUAAAAUUUUUUUAUGGAGAAAAAGGUAGUCCGCUCACUAUAUACAAUGGAGCCUUGCGUGCCUGGUUUGUCGCUCUUCAGAGUAUCUCACACAAGGCUGCGGUGGCCUCUCUCUCUCUCACCGUUAGUCACUGAUCUGGCCGCAUCCCAUUCGCCGGGGGAAAGGGAGUGCGGUGGCCUCUCUCUCUCUCUCACCGUUGGUCACUGAUAUGGCCGCAGGAAAGGGAGGAAGUGCAUCGUUUCUCCGUUCGACGGCGCCGAGGCAGCACGUCCCGAUCUGCGGUACACGCCGUUCUCUCUGACCAAGCUCCGGUGCGGCAGGGUCUACGCCACCUGCUCGCAGAUUCCGCCCGCCGCCGCUCACCUAGUUACAUCCCGACGACCUCCAGGUAUCCCCUCCGACCUUGCUCCACUGCCCGUCUUCCCACGUCGCUGCAUGUGGAUCUUCCAUAGUUCUUUGCCCAAAACGUAGCUCGUCCAGCGUACUUCCCAUAUUGCAUUCUCGUCCUCACACCGUUUUAGACAAACACAACCGUGUUGUUAUGUUCCCUUAGGGCAAGGAAUAUGCUUCUUUUUUGUCGUCGCAUGUGUCAUCAACAGUUAUUGGCCAGUAAUUGUUUCCUUUCUACCUCUUUUUUGCAAACAGGGCUAUCCAUUUCACCUCAUUGCUAUUGCGACCUUUUGGUGAACUGCACAAAUCACUUUUUUCUUAAGAGUGUUUUGUGCAGCUGUACUAAAAUGUCACAUGGGCAACGUCUCUACAUUUCAGUGCGACUGCACAAAGGGAGAUUGGUUUUGCUCUAUCCUCCUCAUCCAACUCCGAGCCUAAUCCUCUCCAACUAGUUAGUCUUAAAAGAGACUGCAAAGGUGACUGGCUUCUAUUUAUGUGUUUAUUGUUUCAUCAGCAGUCCUCUAUUAUCGUAAUCACACUUAAUAUCUUUGGAAUAGGGACGCUCAGCUCUAUUUAGUGGAACUGCACAAAAUGAUCGGAAUGUUGCAUGCUCCAGACAACUACAUUUUUUCCCAACAUGCCUUGUUGAUUUAGACAGAGCUGGGGGACGUUGCUGCCAAUGAAAGCAUGGAUCAAUUUUAAUUUAACACCUUCUCACAACUCUGUCUUCAGUUGUGAUGUAAUUAUUAGCUCUGAUCUGCUAAUAAUUGACAUACGCUCUUCUUUGAAUCCGCUCAUACUACUCCAUCCGUCACUGUUUAUACAGCGCGCUUCAGAAAAAAGAAAAAAGAUCUGUGGGACCAAGGCGACUAGCGAUCGACCUGAAAAAUAGCAUUGGUAGUUAUAGCACGACGUCUAUUACUAGUAGAGGGAAUAAUGCGUACACACAUGCAUGUAGUGCUUCCACCCCGGGUACACACAUGCAUGCACUUACUCCAUUCCAUAGUUACAUGGAGAGAAAAUUGUGGACUUGAUUGCGGUUACCACGCCCUAAUUAAUUAAGCAUUAAACCAAACGCGUCUAAAGUCUCUCUGGUGGUGGAAAUGCAUUGAGAGAAAUGCAUCAUAAUGAAGCGUGCCCUGUAAACUAUGACAGAGGGAGGAGUAGUAUGAAGGUUCAAAACCAAGUACGCGUAUGGCCAGUCGGUCAACGCACCUCCUCUUGGCAUAUCACUGACAUGUGGGACAGGAGUGUGAGCAAACCGAUCUCAAUUGACGGCAAAGAGCCAACCCGCCGUUCCUUGAGAGAGACGAGGAGUGAGAACACACAGACGGGUUCGCAUGGAGGCCAAGAUAUAUUCGAGCAUGGUUGGUUGAUCGAUAUCAUUCAUUACAUGUUGAUGUUGGGCUGCCGUUUUCCGCCCUUCUCCGGAAUAAACGUGUAUUUUGUCAGAGAUAAAAAGAAAUAACAGUACAAAUGCUCCACCAUGCGGUUCUAGUAGUAGUACUACUCGUAGUACUGCACUUGGCUCUUCGCCUCUUCGUGAAGUCGAACAAUGAUGGUACUCCGCAUGUUGGGUACUACAGUUUAUGCCUCUGACAAUCUGACACCGAAUGGACUGAUGCAUGCCCACCGAGGGUAGGUUGCAUUAGUCAAAAGGCGUAAGCGAGCUUCACCUUGUCCUGCAAGCUUCUCCUCGUUCUGCGAGUUGACGGGACACACCAAAAAGUAGUGCUAGUCCAUACUCCCUCCUUUCCGGUUAAUAUGGCUCAAUCCUUUUUGCGGGUAAAUGAGAGAGCUUUAUUCAUAUAUAAGCAUUCUUAGGACGAUCAGCCAAGACACUGGUCACUAGGAAGCGUGGUACCCCGCAAAAAAAGAAGUAGGAAGCGAGGUGUUUCAUCAAGCCAGCUCUCGGCCACAUUCAAAGUGCAGCAAGCACGGUUCGCACGAAGAUGCGCCACAAGGUUUGCUGACCUGUUUACAUGCUGAAUAACAAAAAAAGAGGAAAUAUUACCAAGCGCUACUAUUUGUAACAGGAUAUGAGCCAGAAUUAAGCGAGAAUUGUGGCGAGUGUUCCAUGCAAUCAACUUCCAUUAUCACAUGCGAGAACCCUAGAAGAUAACCAAAUGUGUUGAAGAUUGCUUUAUCACAUUUUAAAAUUAUAAUAAGAGUGCAGAUGCUCCUCCAUCCGGUUCCUAGUACUAGUAUAGUACGUACCUUUAUAGACUAUAUUAGUAAACUUUGCGCUUGGCUGUUCGCCUAUUUGGGAAGUCGAACAAUAGUAGCACUAGUAGUAUAGUGUAUGCUUCUGGCAAUCUGACACCGAAUUAACUGUUGCACGUCCACCGCCUGAGCGAGGGAGAGCUUGCAUUAGUCAAAAGUUUCUCCUUGUCCUACGAGCGACCGCGCGCAAGUAAUUCUAGUCCAUACUGCCUCCUCUCCGGUUAAUAUGGAUUAAUUUCAAACGAGAUAAAUACAUUGUCUGUCACUGUAUAUUUGUAAAAAUACGGUCAGUGGACUUCAUAAUACACUCAUUGCGCUCAAUAUAUAUAUAUUUUCCGGUGUUUAUACGGUCACUAGCUCACCCUGACUGAGUAUGUGUGUGCAUGCACGUGUAGGUUGAGCACUUAGCGUGAUCGUGUGUGUUCCGUCGUGUGCUCGGACAUGCAUGCAUUAGGGCGUCGCACGCGUUUUUGCGUCCAUGUGUACGUGUGACUGUUGCAUACACGUAGGGGGAGUACGUGUAGGGGCCACUAAGGAGCAGUCAUAUCACACAGUAAAUCACGUCUGUCGUGUUCGUGUCUCACCCUCCUCCAUGACUUGACCCCACAUGGUCGCUCGGCAUGCCACUCACCGCAAACCGAGUAUACGAUAACUUUCCCGCCUGCUUGUCGAUGGAUCGCGCCAUGGAGUACUACUAGCACUACUGGAAGAGAUUGACGAGUUGGGGGAGGACAGCUAGCUGUAGCACGGACUCCCAAAAACUUUUUACAUGCAUGUUGUAGCCGGCUAUUGCGACCUUUGAACGCGGAGCAGCCGCGUGCACCCGGAAGCGGCGCGGACGACGCUCACUCGGCCGGCGCGCCGCUUCAAUGCCGGCGCCAGUGAGAGGUCGUGUCCGCUCUGGCCGGGCAUGAAUGCGGCACUGACCGUUUUGGGCGGGAAGCACGCGCGGGUGAUGAAGAGGGUUCGGGUUGGUCAGGACCGGCCGUGGCAGCGGUCCGGACGUGCGCAAACAAGAGAUGAUGUACGUUAAUAUUGCUGCGUAUAUAAUUAACAACGUAAAUAAUGUGCCAGUUGGACAAAUAUGAUUGGAGAUGGAGAUGGAAAUGGAAUUUUAUGUAAACACGGAUAUGCAUGUCUAUGUCUAUGUGUGUGUGCGCGACGACUCUCGCGACCUGGAAGCGGGGGUGUGUUUUUGAUCGAGUUUUCUUUCUUGGUACGUUAGAAAAUCAGUUUGUCCAAUUCACAUCUCGAUGUUAUUUAAGGAUAUCAGAUCUAAGCUCCCACAAGUAUAUAAUGUAGCAACAAGAAACAAAAAAACUAGGACAAAAAAAAUAGACCACAAACAGAGUGGACAUCAACUUAGAUGUGACAUAACUAUGUCACAUCUAGAUGUGUCCUAGACAGACCCUUAAAAAAUUGUUCGCCAGUUUUCGUUUCUUUUUUCAGGGAACGCACGUAUUCUAUUUAAAACCACUGCUAUGGAGAGAUUUUUUUACUCCAUUAUAGCCUCUUGUUUGAUAGAGUUUCUCGCGUCUCGCUCUCUCACCCUCUCCAUAUGAAAACAAGAUGACAGUGUCCAGUAUAUCUCUCUCCUCACCGGUGGUCACAGAUCCGGCCGAAUCUCGUCCGCUGCGGGAGGUGAGGAGGUGCAGCGUUGACGUUGUCGCCGUCGGCGACCGGGGGGGGGGGAGCCGAUGCGCACCGUCCUCUCAGAGCCGGCGCUGGCGCGGACGAAGAUCCUCCGUGCCCUUGUUCGCUGCCGUCGUGUGGGCAGAUCCCGCCUGCCCGCCUAAACGACAUCUCGCCCACCUGAGGUAUAACUUCUUGUACUGGUCCAGCUCCCCAGGUUGCUGCGUGCGGGUUUUCUUCUGUGCGACUACUCCCCAGCUCCCCAUGCAUAGUAGCUAGGGUUCGUCGGCUGGUCCAACAUCACCUACUAGUACUAUUAUAGAGGAAAUUCCACUCGAAAAGUUGUCCUGAUUUAUGCCUCGGUGGAGGUAUACAUGUUGUUUCGACAAAAAGUACAUGGUGGUUGUGCGGUCAUUGUCCAUAUGGUGGUAGUACUAUCACUGGUUAAAUGAAGAAAUGCUUUUUUUUCUCGGGUAUCCUGGUUUAGUUCCCAUCAAGAUAUAAUUAUGAUGCUUCUGUUUGUUGGUGUACUUUUCAUUAACCCUUUUUUAUAUUUUUGGAAACAGCGAUGCGUGUCUCCAUACCCGGGCAUGUCUUCCUCAAUUUUAGUGGAACUGCACAAAAUUGGAUGGCCAUUGUUGUUUCGCCUCACUGUCCUCUGCCACGUAGUUCUUCCUUCCUCAAGCUUGAUUACUGAGAAGAAACAGACCAUAGUGAGGAUUUGUCGAACUUCAUUGGUGCCUCACCCAAACUUGAUGCCAAAUGGAUGAUGCAUCACGACGAUGACCUAUCGAUGCUCAUGGUUGCGCCUCAUGGUUGCGUCAGCUGGUGAAGCUGAUCGUUUUUCAAUGAAAAACAAGCUGUCUUCCAUCAGUGCUCUUUGCUUGUUACGCACAAAGAUGAUAUCCUUCAUCAGUUCACCUUGGUUGCGUUGGAGACGCAAUCGUCUUUCAUGUUGGUGCAAUUUUAUCACACAAUUGGCUAUGAACCAAAUGUUUCCUCGAAGAAGGAUCGACGUUGGUACUAAGAGGAUAAGUUUUGUAUUGAUUUCUAAGCCUUCUCACAACUUUGUCUCCAGCUCCCCUGUAAUUUUAUUUGUCCAGCUAUUAACUUUGAUUUAAAAAAUGGUGUGGACUAAAAACCCGGAUGGACGUAGUAGCCCUCCAUUUUUAUUUACUCCGCAUAUUAGAUUUGACUGAAGUCAAACUUUGUAAUACUCUCAAACCUUUCUUAUAAUUGAAAUUAAAAUUCUUUAUUUGUACACACUCUCACACGUUUCCGAUAAUUUGGCGCAUGUGUGGUUGUUCACUUAAGGGAGGGUAGUGUACCACACGUGAAGGACAGGAGUGCGACCAGGACGCGUGGGCGUGCAUCAUUAGUUCAUCAGAAGUAGUACUCCCUCUGUACAUUAAAUAAAGAGUUUCAUUUCAUACUUACACAAUUUAAAAUGAUUGUUAUGGAGAGAAUAAGAAAACCACUCCACUAUAUAUUAGUCGUAUACACAUGAGAGUACUAUAUGGACGCAGCUUCAUUGACUUAGUGCACCUGCCUUUGGGUUUAUGACAGGUGGGCCCAAAAUGUGGCUGGCUCACCUGUCAUACAACCAAAAGCAGAUGGAGUGAAGGCACCUGAGCUCAGUCCAUACACAUUAGUAUAUAUAUAAGCGAGAGCCUCAGCGCUUGUUCGCUAGGGUUUGCACUAUCCACACGCUCGCCGCAAUACAUAUAUGUUACACGCUGGAGGCUCAGCGUUCAUUUCCUAGGGUUUUCUAUAUUCACAGUCUCUCACCCUCUCUUCACCAGAUCUAAACAAGACUGCGUUGGCCUCUUGUCUCUCUCCCCCCUCAUAGCUGAUGAAGGAGGCGUCCGUAUCCCGUCGCACCGGGAAGGGGAGGAGGUGCAUCGUUAACUCUAUCGCCUUCGGCGAGGGAGGCAAUCCAUUGCCGGCUGUGCUGUUCUCUUUCACCCACCGCCUGUGCGGGAGGGCCACCGACCCCUUCUUCCUCGCUGCCGUACGUAGUGUGGGCAGAUCCGGCCUCCCGCCGCAUGCCUUGCCACAUCCUGACGACCCUAAGGUAUAAGUUUCUUUGAAACCGUUGUUGCUCUAGCUGCAUGUGGAUCUUUUUCGAUCUGUAGUCGAAUCUAGGUCUUGGUUCAAAGAGGAAAGAAAGGUGCGGUGGGGUGGAGCAUGAAUCUAGGACGUGGUUCAAUGAGGAAAGGAGGGAGGAAAAGUAGUAUAGACUGGCUAUCCAACCGCUUUGUUGGUCGAAAAGGGAAAAACGGGGUAACCCAGUACACACAUCUGUAAGGAACUGAUCUCUUUGUUGCAAAGGGAAAGAAACUGGGGGGGGGUCGGGUAGUUUGUGCAGGACUAGAUUUGCUGCCCUCACAUAGGAAAAAAGUUCAAAGAGAACAAAUAUGGGACCAACACAGAUAUGCUGCUUGGCUACAUACUCUGCAUCACCCAUUUAUACGUGUGGACGCACAUGGUGCUAGCAUGUCCCAUACAGCUAUUUUGUUGUUGUUAAUCUAAGAAUGCCACCGGAAAAUUGAAGCAAUGCCACUGUUAAAAGUAAAUUACAUUUUUUAAUGAAUGUUGUUUCAAGAGAGUGUCUCUGUUAAUAUGAAUCAAUGCUACCCUUUUAGAAAUGCUACUAUCCUACUUUGUUUUCCAUAAAAGAUAAGUUAGAUGCUUCUUUCUGUCACCGUUUGUUUCAUCCUCCUUUAUCGGCAAGUAAUUGUUUCCUUUUUUGCCUCUGUUAAAAUAGGGGUAUCGAUUCAACUUGUUGCUAUUGCGACAUUUUACUUCGCUACUCAAAACACUUGUGUUUUAAGAGUGUUUUGUGCUUACAAGGAUAUCAAAAUUAAAGCUCGGUUUUAUUCCGACUUCGAUUUUAGUUGAACUGCACAAAAGGAGCCAAUAUGUCCAAGGCAAACUGCUGAGUUACUGGGUCCAGUUGGUCGUUCCACUUUGCAAAAAGAAGCAGUCACUGGAUGCGGUACAUUACAGAAGGAAUGACCGAGAAGCUUUACAGAGUAUUAUUAGACACCGGUGACAUGACUAGUCUGCAGAGACCAUUGGCAAUUUAACAACACGUGGAGUGCCCUGGGCAAAAAGUGCCCAAACAACUACAUGAAGCUAAGACAGGACACGAUCAUAGGCAUUACAUAUUUUGAAUGGGAAAAGCUUGUCAAAGUUUAAUCAUUGAUGUUAGCAAGAAGAUGUUAGUUUAAUAUAUUGGAAUUGGAAAACCUUGUCAAAAUUUGCUCAUUGAUGUUAGCAAGAAGAUGUUAGUUUAAUAUAUUGGAAUUGGAAAACCUUGUCAAAAUUUGCUCAUUGAUGCUAGCCAGAAGACAUGCAUUUGAUAUUUUUGAGUGGGAUGCCCUUACUGUGAGCAGCGUUGAGUGUUUUUUUUCCUAUUCCUGUGUUCAGUUUAGAAGUAAAUAGUUACUCUGCUGAGAUAUUCCUGUGUUAAGAGUUUGUUCUGAAUAUUGUCUAUGUAAUGUCAGACCUUGUGUUUGAUUGCAAAGUUGAGCUUGGAAUGUUGUGGCAUGCGGCAUCACGAGCUGUUCACCGUGCCUCCUAAGAAUAAUGCUUCGUAUUGUUUUACAUGUCGAUCUAAUGCCAAUUUGCUUGUUAAGAAGAUCAUCCUCUUCUGUUGUUUCCGUGCGUAAUAAGUUCAUCGUCUGAUGUUUCAUUCAUAGCCUAUACGACAUGUCGGGUAGGUUAGACGUGAAACCAUAUGAUCUUCUGACCAACUCAUGAUAUUAGGCCAUGAUUGGAUCGUUGUUUUCCAACCGAAACCGCUUGUAAAACUGACGCUUGUAAAUUAAAGCAGAUGGUCUCAGGCGAAGGCGCUUGGGUGGUCGAUUUCGACUAGUAAAAUAUCGGAAGUACUUCACACAUGAUAAAAACGCUGAACGACACUCGGACGAUUGCUAAUCUAGCCGUUAGCUGCUGUUUUAGCCUUGCCCAUGGAUGGCAUCAUACGCACGUCGUGCAUGUAUCGUCUGGUAAUGUCGUCCAUAUAGCAAUGCUCGCAAAAUAUACACUGGUCUCUCAAAUUACACGCGUAACCCGCCGGUUUUACUUAUAGACCUCGGGCCUUCUGAUGAUGAGUAAAUUACACUUGUAUGUUAAUACAUGUUUGAAAUAAACCAGAGCUCCCAAGUGCGGCCUUACCGUUUCAUGCCGUCUCUGUUUCUCGAAGGUGCUCAUAGGUGUCCGAUGAUCCUGGCUUCCUGAAUGAGCAGCAGGCGCUGUAUCAGACCUCCGUAGGGCCCGCGAGGCCCUCUUCGUUGUCCUUCGAGUUGUUGCGCUCGCCAUGGCGCCGAGCAUUGUUAACAUGGUCAACUAACAUAACGAUUUAGGAGAUGACUUUAUUUUGACUGGAUGACACUAGGGACCCACUAGGGCCAUAGCCGUACGUACGCAAGUGCCUCCUUAUUAUGUACAACUAUAUUUUUUUGCUUUCUCUUGGUUUCCUGACAUCACGGUCCCACACCAUUGUCAACCUAUGUAGUUAAUAUAAACGAGAGAAUUGCACAAGGUGCGGCCGACAGCUGGGACCAAGCAGCUCGAGCAGUAUUUGUGUUUUUGAGGCGUGAGCACUGCAGAGUUUUUCUUGGCGGUGAUUUCAUUGUUGUUGAGAGGAGAGCAGGGUAUUAACUGGACAGGCUGUGGCUCGUCUAGCCCAGGCCAGAUAUCCAGCCCAGAUACUACUUUUUUCAAGAUGAAAAUGGCUAGCCCAGCUAUACGUCUUUUUGAGGAAUACCAAGGCAAGAUCAACUUGUUAUUCUCUACCCCGCUGUGCUGCAAAUCUUUCCUAGGAGGGAUGCAUUAGGCUUAAUAGGAAAAUGGGCUUUAAAAAAAAUAAAUGGGAUGUAAUUAUAAAAACUGGGCAGUAACUAUAAAAAAAUGCACCAAACAUGAAAUUAGUUUAUAAAAUAUUAUUUAUGGAUUUUGAAAAUCUUAAAUUUUCAUUGUUGUGCGUGCAUUGUUUCGUUGGAUUUUUAUGUAAUACAAAUUUAUAUUUAAUCUGAAUAGAAAUUUCGGGAUAAAAAUAUUUCGGAUCCCAUCAAAAUGUGGGAAAUUUUAUUGAAUUAUGUCUUCAACGGUUGGUUGAAAUUAUUAAUCGUUGUCCUAGCUAGAAAAUGGGUUGUACUUUUAACAAACUGUAAAUGGGCUAUUGUAAAUUCCAUUAGAAUUCAAAAAUGGGCUGUACAUUCUUACAAAACGCAAAUGGGCUAUAAGUUCUCUGCCACACACUUGUGGGCCUACUAAGUGACGCGUCCCCUAAAAAAAAUAAGUUGAAGCGUAUGCAAGGCUUUGUCAACUUAUUAUAGUCAACACACGGUUCUAGUAGCAGUGGCCGUUGGAUAUCUAUCCAACGGAUGUCGUGCUUCUUCUUCAAUCUCGGAUAUUCUUAGCUUCGGCCGCCCAAAAAAUGAUUCCUUCCCCUGACAUCUGGGGUGCACCGUUUCGGAGGCUGACCUGUGGGCCUACUAAGUUGGAGCGUACAAAGGGCUUUGUCAACUUAGUCAAUAUAAACGAUUCUAGCUUCAGUGACCGUACGAUGUCCAUCCAACGACCGUAGUGCUUCUUCAACCUCUGGUCUUCUUGGUCCAGCCGCCCAAAGCAGUACCGGUCGUGCCGCCUGCUCCUGCCUCCCGUGGCCGGCUGUGCUGCCGCGGAGGCCUCACCGCCCCCAUACUACUCCCACCUGUCGGAUUUCGGGUUCCGGCAGACCCUCUAGAUUCGAACACUGGGGUGCACGUGGAGAUUUUGCCCCCUGCCUACCUGCACCUCACCGCCUCGCUAAGGUCUAAGCAAUCAAAGGAACAACACAAGAGACACAAAGUUUAUACUGGUUCAGGCCACCAUUGUGGUGUAAUACCCUACUCCAGUGUGUGGUGUGGUGGAUUGCCUCUUGGGCUGAUGAUGAACAAUACAAGGAAGAACAUCCUCACGAGGGUCUGUUCUUGGCUGGUGCAAUGAACUCCUAGGGGGAGUUUAGUCGCUCUCUCUACUAGUUUCCUGGUGAGGAUCCGACCUGCCUACCCUAUGGGUGGCUAGUCCUAUUUAUAGGCAAAGGCCCUGGGCCUCUUCCCAAAUUGAGCGGGAAGGGCGCCAACAAUUGGCCAUUUUGAAGGGGAACAUCUAGUACACUUAUCCUGACUAAAGUUGGUCCUCGCCUGCCAUAGGCUCUGGUGGUGACGCCGGCUUGGGCUCCACGAUGACCUCCAUCCUGCCGUUCUGCUGGUCUUGGUCUUGUUGCACCGAAAUGGAUGCCUUUUCUUGAUGCUCUCGCCUGCGCUUGCUCCCUUUGCACCAAAGAGGAAAGAAGGACACUGCGCGGGCUGGCGCCCGCCUGGCACCCUUGGUCGUCAUGGCUUGCGUCAUGGGCACCUCGCGAGGUACCCCGCCUUAAUCUCUCUGCCUCCUCGCGAGCCAGCCUGACGAGGCCGUGCCUGAGGAAGCUUCCCGUUGUCCGCCCCGCGAGGCUUGACCCCUCGCGAGGGUCUUGAGCUUGUGCUGAUGAAGAUGGGCCAUCCUGGGCCGCCCCUUGAGCCACACUGCAGGCCGCAGGUAGGCAAGUCUGGGGACCCCCGUUCCCAGAACGCCGACAGUAGCCCCCGGGCCCAAGGCGCGCCCGGACUUGGCUGAGCAGAGAGGCGAAGGGCCAAGUGCGAAGCGCCAUGGGCCCUAAUAGCCUGCGGCCUCGGUCGCCGCGUGGUGGUUGGUUGGACGUGGGUGCCUCAGCAACUGCGUGAAUCGACAAAAGAGUGGCAUCUGCCUAGGCUUUGCUUCCCUUGCUUCCUCCGGUCAUUGCCUAGAUCCCCUUUCUUGCGCUCUUCCUUUCUGCCUUCGAAAUCUUCAAAUCUACCUCGACCGCGCACCCUAGCAAGACAUGGCGCCUCGCCAGACCCCGGCCGAAUCUUGGUACUCGCCCGCCUUGGACUCGCCGAACGUGUCGGAGGCGAGCCUUGCCCGGAUGCGCCGGAUGGUGGCGGCGCAAGGCAUCGACGGGGCGAAGGUGUUCAAGGCCGGCUCCGCCCUUCCUGAGGCCCGAGGGAGCACCUUCUAUCCGCUCUUCGUGAGGGCCAUUGCUGCCGGUCUGGUGCCUCCCUUUUCUGAGUUUUUCUUCUCUGUCCGCCGCCAUUACGACCUGCAAGCUUUGCAUCUCCACCCCAACUCUGUUCUUCUUCUGGCGAUCUUCGCCUACUAUUGUGAGGCUCACGUUGGAGUGCAGCCCUUAGUGGCCUUGCUGCGCCACUACUUCUCCCUCCGGUCCUCUUGUGGUGCCAUCUCCGCGUGCGUGAGCUUUGUCGCGUAUGGAGGCUCCAACGCCAUCUCGAAGCCCGGGAAGAGGAUUGAGGGCUUCAGGAGCAAGUGGGUCAUGGUAGAUGCUGGGCGCAUCCACCCUCGGCUCCGAUGAUUGGUCUCGCGUGGAACUUGUGGACCCUCGCGCGAAGCCGGUGUUGGAGAAGAUGGACGCAGAUGUGAGGCCGGGCAACAUGGCGGCGGCGAAGCUGACUGGUGCGUCGCUCCUGAGGGAGUUCCUGGAGCACCAGGUGGCCCUGCUUCGUAAGUACUCGCUUCCGCUAUGGAGGCCCCGCCCGAGCCCCGUAGUCUUGGCCGACGAAGAACUGGCCGCGGUCCUCCAAUCUUUGGUCGGAGGAGACGUGGCGAGGCUGGAGGGCGCCCCUGUACUCUUGUUCCUCCGAGAUGAUUGGGAGAAGGUGGUGGACUCCAUGCCCAUCUUCAAUGGGGACGGGCCUGUGCCCACGGAGGUUCCCGAGGACCCGACGGCCAUGGAGACGGUGAACGUGUCAUCCGGUGACUCCAGCGAAGAAGAGGAAGAAGAGGAGUGGGAAGGGGGCCUGACCCCGAGGCUACCGACGAGAAGUCGAGAGCGCCUCUCCCCCGGCGCAGGUCCCGUGCUCUCUGCCUCUCGCCAAGCGACGACGAGGAUGAUGACGAGCGGGGCGGCGAGAGCUUGCCCCCGAUCUCAAAGAAGACCAGGUCUGGGCUGGUCCCCCUCGGGUCUGCCCCGGUUCCGAGGCAAUCCGCAGACGUGCCUCCUGCUUCCGAGCCUCUCAAGGCUGAUCCCAGCAGCCGGCUCUCGGGCUUCAAGUAUGGCCGGAGGUUGCUCGAGCUCGCGAGCGGCGACUAGUAAGUGCUUGAUUCUUGUUUUAUUCCUUGCUUUGUCGUUGAGGCUUGAUGUCUGUAUCUCUUGGCUAGGUUGGCGCCAGCAGCGAAGAAACUGAAGGGGGCUCCUGAGGUUCCGUCUGGGCAGCGCCUCUGACCACGAAAGAAGGUGGCUGCAAGGCACGGGCCUCUCCUACCCGGUCGUCCUCGCGAGGCCUGGUGGAGCUGGCUGGGGCGAGCUUAGCCCCCAUGGCCCAAGUGACUCCUGAGGUAUCCUUGCCUGAUGCCAUCGCCAUAGCUGUUGGGGCGCAUCAGGUCCUGCCUCAGGAUGCUGUGGUUACGCUGCCGUCCUCUCCUCCUACUCCACCAACUGCUGUCUCUCCGACUCCUUCCACUGUCCUGGAUCACGCUGCUGCUGAACUGGACCGGCUGCGGCAAGAUCUUCUGGGCGCCGACCCUCACUUGGUGGCCGGGCGCUUGGAGCUGGCUUCUGGCUGGAUUUGCUCUAACACUUCGAUUCGGGUGGCGCUGGUUUAGGCCUCGACGGCCUGCAACGAGGAGAAGCAGGCUGUCCUCAGGGCGAAGGCCACUCGAGACACCGCCUUGGGAGAGGCGGCUGAUGCCCGAGGUCGUUGCAAGGCGCUGGAGAGCGAACUGCAGGGCCUGCGGGACCAGCUUGUCGAGGAGGUCCGCAUCCGCCAAGAGAAGGAAGAAGACAUGAAGGCUCCCGAGGCGGCCAUCAAGGACCGAGACGCCAAGCUUAACAAGCGCCAUGACUGCCUGGGUUCAAUGGAGCAGGAGUUGGAGGCAUGGAAGGUCGAGCUGGACGGCAAGGCGCGGGUCCUUGCCGAGGACCGUGAGGCCUUCACGAAGACGGAGGUGAAGGUUCACGGCUUGCUGAAGUCGCUCUACGACAGCGGCCUGGAAAGCCCGCUGGCCGGUGCCGAGGAUGGCCCCGCCAAGCUGCUCCCCUUCCUGGUCCGUGCUCUUGAAGAUGUCACCCUUGGCCUUGGCCCUACGGCUGAGGCCGAGGCGCGUGUCCUGUCUUCUGCAGCGCUGACGCGGGUCCUUACCCACGUCUACCUUCGUGAUCCCAACGUCGACCUCGACAGCCUGUUGGAGCCAGCGAGCGGUGAGCUUGCCGCUGCCGCUGCUGAGGCCGUGAAGGGUCGUGCGGAGGCUCUGCUAUCGAGGUUCCGGGCCUUCAGACCAAGCCGAAGCGAGGCGCUGCCGGUCCUGCGGCUCCACGAGGCGAACCCGCUCCGCGCAGCUCCGCUGCCAACAAAUGACUCCGUCAUCGCUCCUGCCCUGCUUUCAGCUUCUGCAACAUGCAUCAUGCCUGGGGGAGGCGUUAAAACUUGUGUUUGGUGUCGUGAUAACAAUUAUGGAUUGUAAUAUUUUCUUUUGAAUUCCUUGAAAUUUGCGCUCUUCCUACUUGCUUAUGUUCUACGCUGACAGAGCCCGGCCCCGUGCAUACCUCAACCGCCGUUAGCCCCGACCGGAAACCAGGACGGGACCAAGGAGUGAGGGGCUAUGUGACAAGUUAGGCUCCUGAGUCGCGAUGCUCAGGAGUCCCCCUUGGCGCACAAACAGCAAGUAGGGAGGUGAGAUGUGUGGGUGAAUCUACCAUUCUACGUCUGCAGAGCCCGGCCCCACGCAUACCUCAAGCGCCGUUAGCCUUUCGGGACUAAGGAGUGAGGGGCUACGUGACCAGUUAGGCUCCUGAGUCGCGAUGCUCAGGAGUCCUCCUUGACGCUCAAACGGCCUUCGUACCUUGGCUCCGCUCGGGGAGAGACGCGCGACAAACCAGGCCCGAGGGGCCUGGUUGGGUGGCGUACGUCUGGGUGUGACCCAGGCGCAGCCCCCGUGCCCAGCCCCUUCACGCGGCACUCCCGAGGGGAGGCGUUGCGAUGAGGCCAGACACUGAGCUCGGGGCUCCCUGAGGUUGAUGCGGUCGGGGGCCACCCUCAGUUGUUUAUCACCAGCACGGAGCAUAGCUCUUCCGUAUGUGUACGGGCAUAGCCGCUCCUCGGCAGUGUCGUCAGCCAACACAGAGCAUGGUGCUUCCACUGGUGCGUGGGAGGGGGCUCCACUCCGGGAGGAGCCCCCGGGGCAUGUACAGCCCGCCCUGACACGUGGGCGGCACGGUAGGGCAUGAGGAGGUGUAUCUGGGCACCCGUGAGCCAGCGCGGGACUCACGGGGCCCUACCUCAAGGCGGGUUGUGCUUGGCACUGGACCUUAACUUGUGAUGUGUUCCUGCAAAUUUGGCUAGAUGCCGAUGCUCUACGUCCUCGGGUCCCGGCCCUCGAGUGAGUCUCAGCCGUCAUUGGUUUGCCAGGGCGUGAUGCCGUGGACAAAGCCAGAGGGUGAGGGCUGGAGAGCCAGUAGGAGCCCUGAGUCGCGAUGCUCAGGUACCCCCCCUUUAACACGCAAGCUUGGUUAGAUGUCGACGCUCUACGUCCUCGGGUCCCGGCCCUCGAGCAAGUCUCAGCCGUUGCUGGUUUGCCAGGGUGCGAUGCCAUGGACAAAGCCAGACGGUGAGGGCUGGAGAGCCAGUAGGAGCCCUGAGUCGCGAUGCUCAGGUACCCCCCCUUUAUCGCGCAAGCGGCCGACAUGAAGGAAGAAGAGGUGCCACGGACAGGCACCAAAUAACAAGCAUGAUGGGUCGAAUGCAUGGCCCAAAAAUAAACGCAAGAGGGGUACACGCCGCUGGGUCUGACCCGAGCGACUUGGGGAUGAUGCAGCCCGAGGGGCGCCCCCAACAAGGUAAGCUAAAAACAUGAGCAAAAGGGAUACACGCCGCAGGGACGGACCCACGCGGCCUGGGAAUGAUGCAGCCCUGAGGGCGCUCCCAACUGGAAAAGAAACUUGAAAGAUGUCACCUGAUAGUGUUGACGGUGAAGGGGUGUUGAAGUAGCAGACGUCGUGGGCUGCGGAAGCCGAUCUUCACGAGCCCCCAGGCCCAGGAGCCUCGGGAGGCUCCGGAGGCGCUGGUGGCUCCUCGCGAACCAUCUCCAUCUCCGCCAGCACUGCGGAAUGCCUGGCCUCCUGAGCCUCCAGGAUGCUCCUCAUGAGGCGCUGGCGCACCGCAGCCGCAUUCGGCAAGCCGUAGGGCUUGCGAACACAGUUAUGGGGUGGGCCUUCGCAGCGCCCCACGCGCGAGGGCCAGAAGCGCUCCUGAGAGGCGGCUCGGUUGAGCCCUGGGAUGUCGAUGCAGACGCGCAGCCCACCAUCCUCGCUUCGAUGGGGACCUGCGGCGGGUAAGCGGCGGCUGCCACUCAUGACUCUUGACUCCUGCAACUCCUGCGUGAUCUGACUAACGAACUCCUGAGGGUUUGGCCCUCCUUGAUUUGCUCCUUCCUGAGGGAAACGUGCUUUGAAACACGCCUCCAAGUGGUGCCCAAGCGCCUCCCUCGUGACCUUAGCAAGGUCGGUGGCCCUCCAGGAGGGAGCCCCCGAGCCCUGCUUGAGGAGGGCGCCGGGUGCACCUUCCUAUGCGACAGAAGGAUGUGCCCCCUGAGCAGGCGCAAACCCUGAAGGGCUUGCCUCCUGAGGGGUCGGGCCUGGCGAUGUCUUCUUCUUCUUGGGAGCGGCCUCGGGGAGCCUCCCGCUCCCGCGAUCUGGGUCUUCAAGUGAUGCGUCCUGAAAAGCUCAUUCCAGGGAGCACACUGCGUCUCUUUCUUCACAAGGCACCAUGAUGACUCCACCGCUUCCUGGCAUCUUGAGGAUGUUGUAGCCAUGAUGCGUCACGGCCAUGAACUUGGCGAGAGCUGGGUAGCCGAGGAUGGCGUUGUACGGAAGGCGAAUGUGGGCGACGUCGAAGUCGAUGAGCUCGGUGCGGUAGUUGUUGUGUGCCCCGAAGGUGGCAGGGAGGCGGACCUGCCCAAUUGGAACUGUGAAGCCGUCGGUGAAUCCGGAGAAAGGCUUGGUUGGCUGAAGCUGAUCGUAAGGCACUUGGAGAUUGUUGAAUGUCUCUACGGACAGGACGUUGAGCCCUUCCCCGCCAUCGAUGAGGGUCCUAAUGACUUGCACGUUGCUGAUGACUGGGGAGCAAAGCAUUGGGAGGACUCCGGCUGUGGCCGCGCACUUGAGCUAAUCCGCUGAGCUGAACAUGAUGGCGCACGCCGACCACCUGAGGGGGCGCAUGGCUUCAAGCUUGGGGAGGACUGCACUCACUUCGCGGGCGAACUUCUUGAAGAUGCGUUGAGAGGCUGGGGCUUGAGCUCCGCCCAGGAUGUAGGCGAUCGCGCGCGGCUCCUGGAAGCCCCCAGCCCCCUCGUCCUGAUGAUGGUCCUCAUUUCUCCUUGAAUGCGGCGGCAGUGGAGGGAGGCCUGUGUUUCCUUGCGGACGAUCCUCGCGAGGCUCAUCCCUCCAGUCUCCCUCGCGAGGCUGACCCCUCAAGUGAUCCUCGCGAGGUUGGUCACGCCACCCUUGGCGAGGGUCGCGGUCUUCCCAGCGUCCUGUGUUCCUUCCUCCUCCUCGGCCAUAGCCACGAUCAUUGCGGUCAGGGCGUCGGCCGUUCCUUCCUUCUCGCACGGCUCGGAGCUCUUGGCAUUCGUUGGUGUUGUGGGUGUGGAGGUCGUGGUACACACAGUACCGACUGCCCUUGAAAGACUCAGGCUGAUCUCUGCCCCGCUUGGUGUCUGGUUCUGCCGCGAGCACGACACCCCCUUGCGCUUCACAUCGUUGGCCUUGGAUUCUUCUCUUCUGGGUCUGCGGCUGGCAGCUCGAAGAGGGAAAGGCGCCCUUCCUCAGCCCUGGAGCACUUGGUCGCCAAGUUGAACAGCUCCAAGGAAGUGCACAGAUCUUCAUGCAUCGCUAGCUCCUGCUUCAUCUUGACUCGCGCACGCCGUCGAAGAAGGCUGAGAUGAUGGCCUCCUUGGUCACCUUGGGAAUCUUGAGACGUGCGUUGUUGAAGCGCUGGAUGUACUUCUGCAGGGUCUCCCUGGAUGCUGCUUGAUGCGGCUCAUGUCGCUCACGGCAGGUGUCCGGUCGCGAGUACCUUAGAAGUUGGCGAUGAAACGGGUGCGCAUCUCGUCCCGGGAGGAGAUCGUGCCAGGAGCCAGGUUCAGGAGCCAGGUGCGGGCCCCGUCCUUGAGCGCCAUGGGAAACCAGUUCGCCAUGACCUUCUCAUCCCCGUUGGCGGCUUCAAUGCCCAACUCGUAGAGCUAGAGGAACUCCGCAGGGUCGGCCGUGCCGUCGUAGCGAGGAGGCAGGUCUGGCUUGAACUUGCAGGGCCACGCAACGUUGCGCAGCUCGGUGGUGAAGGCGCGGCAGCCUGCUGUGGCCACGGGAGGCCUCUGGUGACGAGGAGCUUGGUCCUGCGGGCCCCCAUGCGCUGCAGCUGGGAGCAGCGCGGGGUCUUGGCAUGCUGGCACAGAAGCGUGGUCGCGACGGACCGGAGCAGGGAGCACUCGGGCAGCUUCUUGGGGGCGAGGAACCUCUUGGCAGCUCCGCUCUUGCUGCGCUGGCGCCAGAUGGAGUGGGUUCCGUCCAGGGGCCACACGCCUUGGGGCCAGGGCGCCUUCUUAAGGGGGAGGAGGCUGAGGUGCCCCUGGAGCUUCAUUGCCCGCGCAGGGCGGGGCGUGGUGUAGCGAGAAGGACGGCGCGGGGGAGCCCCCUGCGGCGCGGACGAGCUCGGCGAUGCGGUCGAGCCACUCUUUGUAGACGUCGUCGACUGGGCGGUAGCACAGGAGCUUGUUUGCUGUGAUGAGCGCAGCUCGAGCCUCCAUGGCCAUGCGGGGCGCGCGGGACGAAGAACCAGUCGGGGUGAGCGAGGGGGUAGCAGUGUGGCCGUCUUGCCUCAUGGAUGGAUGCUGGGACGAUGCUUGCUGCUCGUUCCCCGCCGGGCCGGUGGCGGCGUUGACGGCAGGCGACAGGGAAUGGCGGGGGUGGCCGCCGACGGGGGCCGUCUGGGUGACGCAGGAAGCAAGAGCGACACGGUGCUCGGCGCAGGCCCGCCGAGCGUCCGACAUGGACGCAAUGGUCGGUGAAGAACAGGGCGACGGGAGACGCAUUCCGGCGCACCCCUACCUGGCGCGCCAAAUGUCGGAUUUCUGGUUUCGGCAGACCCUCUAGAUUCGAACACUGGGGUGCGCGCGGAGAUUUCACCCCCUGCCUACCUGCACCUCACCGCCUUGCUAAGGUCUAAGCAAUCAAAGGAACAACACAAGAGACACAGAGUUUAUACUAGUUCAGGCCACCAUUGUGGUGUAAUACCCUACUCCAGUGUGUGGUGUGGUGGAUUGCCUCUUGGGCUGAUGAUGAACAAUACAAGGAAGAACAGCCUCGCGAGGGUCUGUUCUUGGCUGGUGCAAUGAACUGCUAGGGGGAGUUCAGUCGCUCUCUCUACUGGUUUCCUGGUGAGGAUCCGACCCGCCUACCCUGUGGGUGGCUAGUCCUAUUUAUAGGCAAAGGCCCUGGGCCUCUUCCCAAAUAUUGAGCGGGAAGGGCACCAACAAUUGGAAAUUUUGAAGGGGAACAUCUAGUACACUUAUCCUGACUAAAGUUGGUCCUCGCCUGCCAAAGGCUCUGGUGGUGAUGCCGGCUUGGGCUCCACGAUGACCUCCAUCCUGCCGUUCUGCUGGUCUUGGUCUUGUUGCACCGAAAUGGAUGCCUUUGCUUGAUCCUCUCGCCUACGCUUGCUUCCUUUGCACCAAAGAGGAAAGAAGGACACUGCGUGGGCUGGCGCCCGCCUGGCGCCCUUGGUCGUCAUGGCUUGCAUCAUGGGCACCUCGCGAGGUACCCCGCCUUGAUCUCUCCGCCUCCUCGCGAGCUAGCCUAACGAGGUCGUGCCUGAGGAAGCUUCCCGUCGUCUGCCCCGCGAGGCUUGGCCCCUCGCGAGGGUCUUGAGCUCGUGCUGAUGAAGAUGGGCCAUCCUGGGCCGCCUCUUGAGCCACACCGCAGGCCGCAGGCAGGCAAGUCUGGGGACCCCCGUUCCUAGAACGCCGACACCACCGCUGGCCAGGCCAUCCCUCCACUCACCCACACCCCCUGUUAUUCUGCGGCGACGGCAGCCUCACACCGUAGCCGAACCAGUGAACCCUCGUACUCCUCUCCGCGCGGGCUUCCACUGCUGCGUCUUCCCUGGCUAUGCGUCAUCCCCUUCCUAGGUGUCGCCGUCGUCCAUCGCCCUGGUGCUCUCGAAGUGGCGUGGUCAACGUGGUCAACGACCGACUUCCAUUGGAAGAGUACUGUACGUGGAGAGGCUGACAGCUGGGUCCACGGUGGCCGCAAGGAAGUGCCUCCUUAUUACGCGCAAAAUAAUUAUACCUCCACCUGACAGCAGGAACCCGUCGGACGGGCCACCUUAUUUCGCGAAAAAAACGUUUCCCCCCUGACUGCUGGUACCCACCGGACGGGCCACCGUAUUUCGCGAAAAAACGUUCCCCCCGCUGUCAGCUCGGACCCACCGGAAGUGCCUCUUUAUUACGCACAAAAAAAUGAAUACUCCCCCUGCUAGCUGGGACUCACCUUGGUGGGAAGCUGACUUGUGGGCCUACUAAGUUGACGGGGACGGAGGGCUUUGUCAACUUAGUCAAUAUGAAUGAUUCUAGCUCUAGUGACUGUACGAUGUCCAUCCAGCGACCGUAGUGCUUCUUCAACCUCUGGUCUUCUUGCUCCAGCCGCCCAAAGCAGCGCCGGUCGUGCCGCCUGCUCCUGCCUCCCGUGGCCGGCUGUGCUGCCGCAGAGGCCUCACCGCCUCCAUACUACUCCCACCGCUGGCCAGGCCAUCCCCCCACUCCACUCACCCACACCCCCUGUUAUUCUGCGGCGACGGCAGCGCAGCCGAACCAGUGAACCCUCGUACUCCUCUCCGCGUGGGUAUCCACUGCCGUGUCUUCCCCGGCUCCGCAUCGUCCCCUUCCUAGGCCUCGCCGUCGUCCACCGCCGUGGUGCUCUCGGUGCGGCGUGGUCAAUGUGGUCAAUGACCGAAUUCCAUCGAAAGAAUACUGUACGUGAAGAGGCUGACAGCUGGGUCCACGGCAGCCGCAAGGAAGUGCCUCCUUAUUAUGCGGAAAAUAAUUAUUCCUCCACCUGACAGCAGGGACCCACCAGACGGGCCACCAGUAUUUCGUGAAAAAACAUUUGCCCCUGACUGCUGGGACCCACCCGACGGGCCACCGUAUUUCACGAAAAAAACAUUCCCCCUGCUGUCAGCUCGGACCCACCGGAAGUGCCUCCUUAUUACACACAAAAAAUGAAUACCCCCUGCUAGCUGGGACCCACCUUGGUGGGAGGUUGACUUGUGGGACUACUAAGUUGAUGGGGACGAAGGGCUUUGUCAACUUAGUCAAUAUAAACGAUUCUAGCUCCAGUGACCGUACGAUGUCCAUCCAACGGCCGUAGUGCUUCUUCAACCUCUUGUCUUCUUGCUCCAGCUGCCCAAAGCAGCACCGGUCAUGCCGCAUGCUCCUGCUUCCCGUGGCCGGAUGUGCUGCACCGCCCCCUACUAUUCCCACCGCUGGCCAGGCCCUGCGGCGACGGCAGCCUCACACCAUAGCCGAACCAGUGAACCCUCGUACUCCUCUCCGCGCGGACUUCGACUGCCGUGUCUUCCCUGGCUCCCCGUCAUCCCCUUCCUAGGCCUCGCCUUCAUCCACCGCCCUAGUGCUCUCGGCGCGGCAUGGUCAACGUGGUCAAGGAAUGACUUCCAUUGAAUGUGGACUGUAUGUGGAGAGGCUGACAGCUGGGUCCACGGCCACAGCAAGGAAGUGCCUCCUUAUUAUGCGGAAAAUAAUUAUUCCUCCACCUAACAGCGGGGACCCAUCGGACGGGCCAUAGUAUUUCAUCAAAAAAUGUUUCCCCCCUGACUGCUGGGACCCACCAGUUGCACCUUCGCACGCAAGGAAGUGCGUCCGGGCAAAAAACGAUUCGCCCCCCUGACUGCUGGGACCCACCAGCUACAUGUUCGCAUGCAAGGAAGUGCGUCCAGGCAAAAAAGAAACGAUUCGCCCCCCUAACUGCUGGGACCCACCAGCUACAUCUUCGCAUGCAGGGAAGUGCGUCCGGGCAAAAAAAAAUGAUUCGCCCCCCUGACUGCUCGGACCCACCAGCUACAUCUUCGCAGGCAAGGAAGUGCCUGACAGUCGGGACCCACCUGGUCGAAGCGUACGUACCGUUGUCAUUCUGGUUGCGUACGUGUACGUACAUACUGGUCGAUGUAGAGGCGCGCACGUGUCGUAGUAGAGGCGCGCACGUAGCUUGUACACAUACGUACAAUGGCCAGGGUGCAAGAAAGAAAAUACAGCCACGCACGUACAUACGGGCAGGGUUUCGAACGCCUACUCGUGCAUACGUACAUGGCUGGGUCGGAACGGAGAAACAACGUCAUCGUCAUGUUCAUGGGGAGGUAACGGGAUGCGUCGUGUUCAUCGGGAGGCAACGGAAUGCGUGGGAGCCAACCGGCUGGGUCGGAACGGAAUGCGUGGUCCCGUUCAUCGGGAGGGCUUGGACGGAACAGGCGAUGGAAACGAGGCCUGGCGUACCGCACAACGGAGGAAACGGCCUUGUGUUCGACCGGCCACGUUCGAAACAGGGUCCUGUUGAUCGGGAGGGGCCUGGCGUACCGCAAAACGGAGGAAAUGGACCUCCUACGAUCGAAACGGGGGUCCUGUUGAUCGGGAGGGGUGUGGCGUACCGCAAAACGGACGAAACGGACCUCCUACGGUCGAAACGGGGGUCCUGUUGAUCGGGAGGGNNNNNNNNNNNNNNNNNNNNNNNNNNNNNNNNNNNNNNNNNNNNNNNNNNNNNNNNNNNNNNNNNNNNNNNNNNNNNNNNNNNNNNNNNNNNNNNNNNNNNNNNNNNNNNNNNNNNNNNNNNNNNNNNNNNNNNNNNNNNNNNNNNNNNNNNNNNNNNNNNNNNNNNNNNNNNNNNNNNNNNNNNNNNNNNNNNNNNNNNNNNNNNNNNNNNNNNNNNNNNNNNNNNNNNNNNNNNNNNNNNNNNNNNNNNNNNNNNNNNNNNNNNNNNNNNNNNNNNNNNNNNNNNNNNNNNNNNNNNNNNNNNNNNNNNNNNNNNNNNNNNNNNCACGGGAUACUGUUCAUCUCCACCGUCGACCUCCUCCAGCCUCCACGGGCUACCGUUGAGCUCCUCCAGCCUCCACGGGCUCCUGUUCAUCCAGCCUCCACCGCGCGCUACUCCACCGGCUACUGUUCAACCACCCCUCCACGGGCACCCCUCCACCGUCUACUGUUCAUCAAGCCCUCCACACCACGGGGUCCUGUUCAACCACCCCUCCACGGCCACCCCUCCACCCUCUACUGUUCAUCCAUCCCUCCACACCAUGGGUUCCUGUUCAUCCAGAGGCAACGCCACCGCUCACUGUUCAUCCAAACCCCCCCAUAACGCUCACUGUUCAUCCCAGAGGCAUCAUCGAUCGGCUUCAGUUAGCAGAAGUAGCGAAGGAAUCGCUCCAUUGGGUUUAGUUAACAGCCAUCGAUCGAUCCCUCGGGUUCAGUAACGCGUAGCCUGCAGUGCAAUUGCUCGGGUUCAGUUAGAGCCCAACGCCUCGCUCGGGUUCAGUUAGAGCCAACGCCUUGCACACACGCGUGUACGUACGGGAGAAACACGCAUCGUUCCGCCCUCGACCUCCCACCGUAACCAGCAACUCCCCGAAAUUUUCCUCCCUCUCGCUUCUACCACAGUUUUUCCGUCAUGGACGGCCCAAACAAUGUCAUGCAGCUGCGUCUCUGGCCCACCCAGGAUGAAAAGCCCAUUUUCUGUCAUGAUUUUUUGUCAUAGAAGUAGGAGCCCACCACAUCUAUGAUGAUACCGGGUUUUGUCACAAUUAUCGUCAUAGAAGUGUCAUAUGUAUGACAGAAAAAAAAUUCGUUCGGCCCAAAAUGUCACAGAUGUGUCUUUUUUUGUAGUGCCUUCUUCUCUGUUGUGGUGCCGUGAAGACCAUUUGUUCAAGCACAACUACCAGUUCGCCAAAGACUCAGCUGCGAAGAACAAGAAGGCUCUAGGACUUGACUUCAAUCCUAGUCCUUCCUCACCUCGAGAAGAUGGCACCCGUGAAGCCAAUGAGAACAGGAUCGGCCCCUUCUACAACCUUGCUGGCCUCAUUACACACAUUGCUGUCCAAGGUGCAAAUGUGGAUCAUUCUGAUAAUGAUUCUGAUUCUGAUGCUCCUGCUCCUCCUCCGAAGCCGCAGAAGCAAAAUAAAGCUAAAGCUUCAAAACCAACUACCGCACCAAAAGCUUCUCGAGUGAAGCCAUUGGCAACUGCCCUUCCUGCUCCAAGCAACACAUCUGAAGAUCUCUCUCGCAUCUUCAAAAAGCGCGAGAUGCCUCAGAAGAGAACUGUUCAGAGAUCCAGUCAAGCACUGACACCAGCUGUCGUUCUGAGGAACAAAAUUCAAUCCAUUGAUCUGUCUUCAGAUGAAGAAUUUGUCAAUGAUGCUCUUGAGUAGCUGAUCAAGAGCAAGCAAGAGGCGGAGAUCUUCAAUGAUCUGCCCCUCUUCGAUGUGAACAUUUUGGAUAAUUUCAUUGAUGAGUGGUUCGACAAUCAAGAUCUUAGUUUUGAUGAUCUUCAGCUCCCCAUUGGCAUCAGCGUGGCUUUCCAAGGCGCAAUUGCUCCUAAGAUGGCUCUGGCUCAAUGAAUUGUUGAAUUGAAGCACAAGAUUGACUUUGAGAAAGAGCAGUUCAAGAAGCAUGUGGCCAAGCUCAGUGUGGCUGAUGUUCAGAAGUUCAAACUAAUGCUGAAUGACCUCAAGGAUGCAUUUCGCAAGAAGCAUGAAGAAGCCAAAGGCUCAAGAGAACGCAUGAAGAAUCUUGCUGCCAAGUGUGUUCAAGCGUACAAUGAAGCUGAAAAGCGCAAGGCACGUGGGCGUCCAGGCAUUGACCCCAAGAUGGCUGCCAAAAAGAAGAAGUCUACUGUGGCCCCCACUGAAGCUCCAAGGCGGGAAGAACCUCACAUUGUCUUCCCAGCCAGCAUGACAGACUCGAAGCCUAAGGUCUCCACAGUGGCUUCAGAACAGAAGAAAACCAGGGCAGCUGAAGCCGAAGCCAAAAAGUGUAAAACCAAGAACACCACAGAUGAUGCACCACCCCUCAAGAAGAGGAAUACCAAGAAGAGAGAUCGGGCUGCUCCCAAAGAGCCCCCUUUUGUCGAACCCGUUGCUUUUGCUCCCCCUCCAUCUGCAAAUCAAGAGCGUCCAUUGAUUGUUCAUGAGCUUGCUUCCACAGAGGCUCCUGAAACUCAAGAAGUUCCAGUCAUUGACCCCAUCGCGACUGAAGACAUUGGACGCCAAGACAAUGUAGAAGAUGAUGAAGUCCUUCCUCAGAUUGAGCGCCCAACGGUAUUAUCGCCUGUUCUCACGAACAUCAAGCUCAUAAGUAUUGGUCGUCCUUUGAUGCCAAUCUCUCAAGAUGCCUCGUGGGCUGAUCGCCCCCAACCAGCAACCCCAGUUCAAGACUCACAAAGUACACCCCGUCCUUCACCAACGCAAGGUCCAAGUCCAAUUGUCAAUGACGACAAUUACAUGGAGACCAAACCAUCACCGAAAGCGUCGCCCGUGUUUCAACGGCUUCACAAAGGCCAGAGGCCAUCGGUCUCCAUGACAACCAUCACAGAAGAGGAUUCACACCAGUCCAGCUCAGUGGCACGUCAAGUGUUCCCUGAAGAUAAUCCUUCUAUGACUGUUCCUAUGUCCAAAGCUAAUGUUGCUGAAGACAAUCCGGCUGCAUCAGCCGAAGAAAGACAAGAAGAAGAGCAUGUUGCUACUAUCCCUACCACCCAACAAGUUGUUCUCGAGGAGAACGUGUCUGUGCCCGACCCUCCAGCUACUCAAGUGGAGGUUGAGAAUCCUGAGGCGGCCACCAACAACACUACUGAAGCCAAUGACGUUGUCAUGGCUGAAGACAAUGUGGCGCCUACGAUAAACACUGUGCUUGAAGCCACUGAUGCUCCUACAACGAAUGUGCAUCCUGUCGCCUCUGCUGAUGCCACUGCUCCUGUUCCGCCUCCAAGGCCCCACACCAUUGAGCAUGCAUUCUACUAAGGUGAGCUUGUUCCUGUCUGAUGGCUGAUUCUGGUUCCUCCGCCUGCUCCUGGACCUCAGUUUGACUAUCGUGUGGAGCACAGGCCUCAGCUUCACAAGCCAAAACCAAGGCUGCCAAGGUUCCCAGGUACUGCAUCAGCACCAGGCUCAUUCAAUGUCAAUGGCUUCAUUGCACACAACACCUUCUUUGAUACUGCCAAGAACCCAUAUUCCAAGCCAAGAAUAUCAUCAGAUCAGUUCUGGAGCUAUCAGCAGCGCAACUACUGCUCCUGUAUUCUAUAAAAUCAAGAGUGCAUAUUCCCUCAUAUGCUUGUGGACACUGAAGCCAUUGAUGGUCUGCCCUGUCUAGAAGAAGCCCUUGACUGUUUUCGCGAUGCUGGCCUUCUGCAGUUUGUUACCAACAAGGAACAUUGGAAUGAAGAGCUUCUACUGCAAUUCUAUGCAACCCUCCAUGUUCGCGGCUAUAACAGGGAUACAACGACAUGGGUCCUUGAGUGGAUGACGGGCAAUGUCCAUCAUGAAGCCAAAGCCUUUGAUCUCAUUGAGCUUACUGGCGUUUCCACUCCGGGCGAACUGUAUGAACCUGGUUGUCAGCUUCAUCGUGAUGCUGUGGAAAGCAUCUUUCAGAAGCCAGAGCCCAACAUGAGCCAGAUGCUAAGUAUGAUGAAGCCACUGUCUCAGGAUGCUGAAUAUCCCAAGGAAUUCCUUGUUGAAGACCUAGAGUAUCCACCCUGCACCAUCUAUCAUAUCAUUAGGCGAACUCUAUGGCCCAUCAAAGGGCAUUCCUCCUUAGCAAAGCAUGAAGGUGAAAUGAAGACAUUUGUCUUCUAUAUUCUCAAUGGCAAAAGCUUUAAUACUCAGGAUUUCUUCAUUCGCCAAUUUGCUGCAUCUGGAUCUAACAUCUUUGGUCUGGAAUUCUAUGCUCCUUGGGUUAUGCAUCUGAUCAAGCUUCACUCUGCCAUUGACUAUCAGCCCUCUGCUCGUAACCACAUCAUAUUUCUACCAGAGGUUGAUUUGUCCAUUGAAGCCAUUUACCCAGAGCCUGCCAAGGAAGCACUAUAUCUUCAUAAUGCAGAUCAUCAGAGUUUCUCUCAGGAUGUUGAAGGUGUUCAGGUUGCUUCUCGUGUUUAUCCUCUGGCCGGCAACACUCGCCAUGCACGUACUGAAGCCACAGAAAGCACCAUUGCUCCAAGGCCUCGGAAGCGCUCUCAUGUGCUCAAUGACCGAGAGCUUCUUGUGGCUUUGCAUUAUAAACAUGACAAGCAUCACUACUGGAUGAAGCGUCAAAUCCAAAGCCUCUUGGUGGAUGUCAAUCGCAUUUGCAAUCUUGCCACCAAGAACGCCUUUGUCACUCAUGAAACCCGUCGGAGGACUUGGAAGGGUUUGACACUGCUCAGUGCUGAAGAUGAUCUUCAAUACGAUGGCUUCACCGAAAGAUUCAAGUUUGACACCACUCCUCCCAGGAAUGUUGUUUUACGACGAACCCCGUCUCUUGAAGAUUUAGAGUACUCUUCGUCCGCAGCCACAGUAAAUGCUAGAGUUAUUGAUGAAGCCGAUGAUGCUACUUCACCACCGCCAACAUCAGCGCGUGUCGACACUGCACCAAGUUCUUCUGCACCACCAAACCUCAACGAUGACCCUACUGAGGGAGUCUGAGGGAGUUCCGGACUAGGGGGUGUCCGGAUAGCCGAACUAUCAUCAUCACCCGGACUCCAAGACUAUGAAGAUACAAGAUUGAAGACUUCGUACCGUGUCCGGAUGGGACUUUCCUUGGCGUGGAAGGCAAGCUUGGCGAUAUGGAUAUGUAGAUUUCCUACCAUUAUAACCGACUCUGUGUAACCCUAGCCCUCUCCGGUGUCUAUAUAAACCGGAUGGCCUUAGUCAAUAGGACGAACAACAAUCAUACCAUAGGCUAGCUUCUAGGGUUUAGCCUCCUUGAUCUCGUGGUAGAUCCACUCUUGUACCACACAUCAUCAAUAUUAAUCAAGCAGGACGUAGGGUUUUACCUCCAUCAAGAGGGCCCGAACCUGGGUAAAACAUCGUGUCCCUUGUCUCCUGUUACCAAUCACCUAGACGCACAGUUUGGGACCCCCUACCCGAGAUCCGCCGGUUUUGACACUGACAGAGACCUUGAUUAGGGGGUAUUCGGACAGCCGUACUGUAUACAUCGUCCAGACUAUUGGAGCGUGAAGAUACAAGACUCAAGACUCUGUCUCGUGUCCGGAUGGGACUCUUCUUUGCGUGGAAGACAAGCUUGGCGAUCCGGAUAUUGUAUUUCCUUCCUUGUAACCAACUCCAUGUAAACCCUAGCCCUCUCUGGUGUCUAUAUAAACCAGAGAGGAUGGUCCUUAGAAGGCCGAUCACAAUUACAAUCAUACUAUCAUAGGCUAGCUUCUAGGGUUUAGCCUCUAUGAUCUCGUGGUAGAUCUACUAUUGUACUACUCAUAUCUUCGAUAUUAAUCAAGCAGGAAGUAGUGUUUUACCUCCAUCGAGAGGGCCCGAACCUGGGUAAACAUUGUGUCCCUUGCUUCCGGUAACCAUUAGCCUAAGACGCACAGAUUGGGACCCCCUACCCGAGAUCCACCGGUUUUGACACCGACAUUGGUGCUUUCAUUGAGAGUUCCUCUGUGUCUUUGCUUCGAGGCUUGAUGGCACCUUCAAUCGUCAACAACACGGUCCAGGGUGAGACUUUUCUCCCCGGACAGAUCUUUGUGUUCGGCGGCUUCGAACUGUGGGCCAAUUCGCUUGGCCAUCUGGAGCAGAUCGACAGCUACGCCCCCGGCCACCAGGUCAGUUUCGGAAACCUGAACUACACGGCCGAUAUCCGCGGAGACCUGAUCUUCGACGGAAUCUGGUCUGUGCCAGGAGCGCCAGACAGUCACAAUGAGCACGGCCUAGACCUGCUGUCGGACAGUGCUCGGGAUGUCACCCCUGCAGUUGCCCCGGACCUAAAUCCAGAGCAGACUGCGUGGCCCAAGGACGGGUGGAUAGACCCCACCCCGCAGGCCGCAUACUCAUUGGCGCUAGAGCCGAACCCAUGCCUCACCUCUAGGGACGCCUGUGAUUCCGGACCCCUGGACUCAUAUCAGGCUGAAGGAUCCAGUCCGCGCGCUCCUGAGCCCUCCGAGCCUGGUUGGGCUCCGGUAAUGGAGUUUACCGCUGCGGAUGUCUUACAGCACUCGCCCUUUGGCGACAUGCUGAAUUCAUCAAAGUCUCUCUCUUUGUCAGGAGGCUCUCGGCCGAACUAUGUCCGACUCGAGUGGGAAGCUAGCGACGAAGGAAUUCGUUGCCCACCCACCACCCACUUCAUAGCCACGGUCGAUGAUUUGACCGACGUGCUUGACUUCGACUCUGAUGACAUCGAUGGUUUGGACGAUGAUGUAGGAGAAGAACAGGAACCACCACCCAUGGGGCGGUGGACAACCACCUCUGCAUAUGACAUAUAUAUGGUGGACACUCCGAAAGAAACCAAUGGCGAUGAGGCAAUGGAGGAUAACCCCUCCAAGAAGAAAGCAAAGCAUGGGCGUCGCCAGCACUGCUCCUAGCCACGCCACAGCAAUACCGGCACCGGAGACGAAAACAAUCUGGACGGUGCCGAAGAUGAAUACAACCCCGAUCAGCCCGCCUUCGCACAGGCCGAGCAGGAAGAUGGGCAGGACAGCCUAUAUGAAUAGGCGACGGACGGGUAUCCGGAGGAGGACAACUACAUGCCCCCCUCUGAAGACGAGAUUAGCCUUGGCGAUGAUGAGUUCGGCAUACUGAGGACCCCGCGGAGCAGGAGCGCUUCAAGCGCCAGCUUAUUGCCACUGCGAGGAGCCUGAAGAAGAAGUAGCGGCAGCUUCAAGCUGAUCAAGACCUGCUCACAGACAGAUGGACAGAGGUCCUGGCAGCCGAGGAAUAUGGACUCGAGCGCCACACGGCUGACCGGCCACCUCGUGGCCGGGAUAAAACGGCAUAUCAUCCCAAAUACCAGCCCGCACCCCCGCGCCAGUUCACCAUGGCCCGGGGCAAUACUCAGGACCUGCGUGAUAGAUUGGCUAACACCACAGGACAACCAAGAUCGAUCUACAGAUCACGGGGGCGCGCUGCAACACAUGAUGAUGUCCGUCAUACCGGAUACACUAACAGUAAAUCCGUCCGGGCCGAAUACAGCCAGCCAGACUUAGUCGGACUGCGUCACAACAUAGCCCGACACAGAGCGCCGCACACCCCCUCUGCUUCACCGAUGAAGUGAUGGAUCAUGAAUUCCCAGAAGGGUUCAAACCUGUAAACAUCGAAUCAUACGAUGGCACAACAGACCCCGCAGUAUGGAUUCAAGACUUCCUUCUCCACAUUCACAUGGCCCGCAGAGAUGAUCUACAUGCCAUCAAAUAUCUUCCCCUUAAGCUCAAAGGACCUGCCCGACACUGGCUAAAUAGCCUGCCCGCAAAUUCCAUUAGCAGUUGGGAAAACCUGGAAGACGCAUUCCUCGACAACUCCCAAGGAACAUAUGUGCGACCACCGGACGCUGAUGACUUGAGCCACAUUACUCAACAGCCUGGAGAAUCAGCCAGGAAAUUCUGGACUCGGUUCCUAACUAAAAAGAACCAAAUAGUUGACUGUCCGGACGCCGAAGCCCUGGCGGCCUUUAAGCAUUAUAUCCGCGAUGAGUGGCUUGCCCGACUCCUCGGCCAGGAGAAACCUAAGUCCAUGGCAGCUCUCACGACACUAAUGACCCGCUUUUGCGCGGGCAUGGACAGCUGGUUGGCCCGCAGCAGCACUACGCCACAUUCUGGCACUUCAGACGUCCGUGAAAAUAAUGGCAAGCUACGACGCAACAGAUACAAGUGACGGAACAACGACAACAACACCGAAUACACGGCAGUCAACGUCGGAUUCAGCGGAUCCAAAUCCGGUCAGCGGAAGAGGCCGUUCAAACAAAACAAUCAGGGACCAUCCAGUCUGGACCGCAUACUGGGGUGCCCAUGCCAAAUUCAUGGCACCCUAGACAAGCCAGCCAACCACACUAAUAGAGACUGCUCGGUGUUCAAACAGGCCAGCAAAAUAAACGCCGAAAACAAGGACAAGGGGCUGCAUAGAGACGAUGACGAAGAGCCACGGCGUUCGAACACAGGGGGACAGAAGAAAUUCCCCCCCCCCCCAGGUGAAAACGAUCAACAUGAUCUACGCUACUCACAUUCCCAGGCGGGAACGGAAGCGAGCACUACGGGAAGUCUACGUGAUGGAGCCAGUCGCCCCAAAAUUCAACCCAUGGUCAGCCUGUCCGAUCACCUUUGAUCGUAGGGAUCACCGUACUAGCAUCCGUCACGGCGGUUCGGCCUCAUUGGUUCUAGACCCAAUCAUCGACGGAUUUCCCCUCACACGAGUCCGAAUGGAAGGAGGCAGCAGCCUGAACCUGCUUUAUCAGGGCACAGUGCGCAAAAUGGGCAUUGACCCUUCAAGGAUCAAGCAAACCAAAACCACCUGUAAAGGUGUAAUUCCUGGAGUAGAGGCCCUUUGUACGGGCUCUAUAACAUUGGAAGUGAACUUCGGAUCUCCGGAUAACUUCCGAAGCGAAGAGUUAAUCUUCGAUAUCGUCCCUUUCCGUAGUGGUUACCACGCACUAGUCGGACGAACCGCAUUCGCUAGAUUCAAUGCGGUACCACACUAUGCAUACCUCAAGCUCAAGAUGCCAGGACCGCGCGGGGUCAUAAUGGUCAAUGGAAAUAUGGACCGCUCUCUCUGUACAGAAGAGCAUACUGCAGCCCUCGCAGCGGAAGUAGAAUGCGGCCUCCUCCGACAAACCACCAAUCCGGCGAGGACAACCUCGAGCACCGUCAAGCGAGUCCGGAGCACCCCGCAAUAGGAUCACCAGGCACGCCAAGAGCGCGACUAGCAGUCCGGCCUCCGCUCAAGCCCUAUCAAAGCAGCAUUCGUGCCACGCGUACACAAUUACGCACUCAAAAUACCAUGGACACAGGCGGAGGCUCAGCAGUGACUAAGUCAACGGUAUGGUAUCACCGCAACAUACUUUUGUAACCCCCCCCCUUUUAUCUUUCAGGACAUUGCUUUAGGGCAGCCACUUCAGAAGAUUUGGAUUGUCGGACUUACAUAGGAGAGAAAACCAAGGAGGUAACAGGCUUUACGCAUCAAAGGAAAUACCUAGGUGGAAUCUGUUCAUGAUCGUUAUACCUGUUUUAUAUACCUACAUGCAGCCUGCCCUUGGAUAGGACAUGUUAAAUAGUCCUAUUUACUUCUGCUUAAAUGCACCCAUUGUAAACAUACGCUUAAACGUAUUAUUCAUCAAUGGGAAAUCAUAUAUAGCGUCAGCUUAUUAUUCCUAUCUGCACACUUUUUCUAUAAAUGUUUAUUUACUAUUGCAUCCGUACACUUUGGUUCGUUUAUUUUGCCAGGGGCUUCUUAUGGUGCCCCGCAAUGCGGCAAGCAAAGUCCAAACACUUUCAAUAGUGCGGCACCCUGAACUUAUAGCAUUAUAUGCAUCAGCUCCGAAUCAUGUCUUGGGUCUAUAGUUGGGUUAGCCCGGCUCCCUUGUUUUGGUACCUUACGUUCUGUUAUAUCGGCUAAGGUAGCGCAAGGAGAACUACUGUGAUUGUGUCCCGGUUCUUCCGGACGAGCACCUCAGUAGAGAAAGACGAAAAUUGACCGGCAUGAUGUGGCGAGAGCUGGUCGCUGUUCGAGAGGUCUUAAAAUCCUUAAAUAUUUUCUCCGCUUUAGGCGAGGAAUCGGCCUCGUCCGAUUUAGGCGUAUAUAGCGCCCCAGUUCGGCCUUCCGAACUCUAGGGGCUUCGCCAAAAUUUAAAAUUGUAGACUUCUAUGGCUAAGUGAAGGUUAUAAAGCCGCAUAGUCCGAUUGCCUUGUUCGCUGCGCUAGACACCUCCUUUAGGGACCAAGUAUUUGGAUAAAGAGUGUCUGGGUUUUCCAUGAACACCCCAGUACUAGUUGCGUGGGGGCGGAAGCCGACGACUGGCCUACUUUCAAAAUUUUAUAAACAGCCACACAGAAGGUAAUAUUUUAAAUCGAAAAGCACUACAUAGCGCAAGUAACUUCGUCCUUAUAUUACAAACAUGACAGAAGUGAAUUCAUUCUAAAAUUUUGUCCUUGGUACAUUCAUCGGCCACGAUAUGAGCGCCCUUCAUAAUGCCUUCAUAAUAUCUCUCGGGAUAGCGAUGCGCCUUACCCUCCGGCGGCCCGUCCUUCACCAGCUUCUCCGCAUCCAGCUUGCCCCAAUGCACCUUCGCACGGGCAAAGGCCCGACGGGCACCCUCAAUGCAAACGGAUCAUUUGAUCACUUCAAGCCACAAACAGGCAUUCACCAUCUGCUUGAUCAAACCGAAGUAGCUCGUGGGAAGGGGCUCACCAGGCCACAUCCGGACUAUGAAAUCGUUCAUAGCCACUUCAGCCGCCCUGUGGAGUUCAACAAACUGCUUCAGUUGGUCACUCAGAGGUGUUGGAUGUUCGGCCCCAGCAUACUGGGACCAGAACAGCUUCUCCGUCGCGCUCCCCUCCUCGGCACGGCAGAACUCCAUGGCAUCCGAUGCGCUGUGUGGCAGAUCUGCAAAUGCCCCUGAAGAGCUCCGAAUUCGGGUAAGUAAAAGAAACGCCUCCUCCACAUGCUUGCUUUGCAUAAAGAAUUUCUUACCCGCCGCUAUCUUCUUGGCCUCCUGGAUUUCCUGCUGUGCCUUCUCAGCUUCGGCCUUGGUGUCUUUUAUACUAGCAAGGGCCUUCGCAAGCUCGGCCUCUUUCACCUUAAGCUCAUGCUCCAUGGACUCGAAAUUUUUGCCGAGCUCCUGGAGCUCUUGCUGUACCUCGCCCACUCUAGCAUCUUGCUUUUCGCGCUCCUUGUGUUCCAAGGCCACCUUGUCCGCGGCCUCGGACAACGCUUUCUUCAGAGACGCCACUUCGAUGGUGGCCCCUGUUACAAAUUCACGACGUUCCAUCGUCAGAAUAACUAAUUUUAUCUAUCCUUCAUUAUAUAAGAGCGGGGAAUCAUUCACCUUUGUUCUCUUCGAGCUGCCUCCUUGUGAGGUCGAGCUGUCCCUCCGCCUGAUCCAGGUCUUGUUUUAGUCCGGCGAUCUCGGCUGUGCGGGCAGCAGCGGCAAGCAGCACAACCUGCUUAUUCACAUUCAAACCUAUUGUUAGACUCAUGCGGAUUAUAAUUGACCCUUUGUUUGGUCUUUCUUUCCGAACACCAAACAGAGUAUCAGGGGCUACUACCUAUUGGGUGGUAAUUUCACACAUUUUUAUUACUUACCUUAAAGCCUGUCAGGAGGCUGGUGCAAGCUUCGGUUAGUCCGCUCUUGGUGGACAAAACCUUCUGAAUCACCACACUCAUAAGAGUACGGUGCUCUUCAUCCAUGGAAGCGCCUCGAAGCGCUUCCAGCAGACAAUCCGACGCCUCGGGCGUAGCGGAAGUCCUCUGCACAGACGGCUCGCCCUCCCUAACGAGGGGCUGCCCGCCUGAGUCCGAAACCACUGGAGGUUCCGGAAUAGUGUUCAGCUGAGAGCCCGGCUUACUGCGGCUCUCAUCAACACGAUCCGCGGGGAUCUUGAACCCCGCGUGUCCGAUGUCUGGAAUGCCUCCUUGGGGCGGCUCCAGAGCCACCUCCCCCCGCUGUGGGAGCCUUUGGGACAACACCUCCGUGUCAUCUGCAGGCUGAGGAGUAGUGGCCGUCGGGAGUGAGUUCAUCGUUGAAUCGCUCAAAGACCCAUCCAAAGACGACACCUCGGGAUGGACCCUGGCCGAACUAUAUACAAGUUCGGUAUUAUAACAAAACUAUGAAGAAAAAUUACGAUAGAGUGCGGACACUUACGAUCACACUAAGGGCUUCUUCCUGGGUAGCCACCCCUCCUCGCUAUCGGCGGCGGUGGCGGAGUAGUCUGGAAGGGACGCCUUUCCCUUCUUGGACGUCCCAGCCUUCCCCUCCGGGGCGGCUUUCCUCUUUUUUGUCCCCCCCAGUAUGGGGAGGUAGAGUUUCUUCUUGUCCCCCCCGCCUCCACGGGAGGAAUCUGCAUCGUCGUCAUUGGACGACGAGGGUAUGACGACCUUGCACCGGGGGCCGGUCCGGGCCCCCUGGUCCGCCCUCUCAGGCCCCCGUCCUCUCCGGAUGGGGCGGCCUCUUCUUCUUCUUCUUCUUCUUCUUCCCCUUCGGGGGAGGAGUGUGCCUCAUCGUCUUUGGACGAGGCCUCCGGUACAACUUUACGCCGAAGACCCUUCCUGGUCCCCCGGGCCUUCUUCUCGGCCUUCUUCUCCGGUGCCUUAUAGGGCGCCAGAACCAGCAUCUCCGUCAUGAGAGCAUUGGCUGGACCUUCGGGUAGCGGAGCCGGAUAGUCGAUCCGCUCCGUUGUCUCCACAUAAUCGUGAUCAAAUUUGCACAAUUACUUUAGACUCCCCCACGAAUACAUUGAACUGAAUCCGGUGGUAGUCAGAAAACUCACCGGACGAGGAAGCCAUGCGGCAUGAAGUCCACGGUCCUCGAAUAUGGGAGGAGGUACUUCGGAGGCCUUGAACAGCGCCUUCCACGCGUCCUUGUGCUUCAUGCCAUAGAGUUUUCGAAGCGUCUGGUGUUCGGACGGGACGAACUCCCAUAGAUUAAACACCCGCCUUUGACACGGAAGAAUCGGGCGGACGAGCAUGACCUGGAUCACGUUGACAAGCUUGAUGUUCUUGUCCUUCAUAUUCUUGAUACAGUUUUGGAGUCCGGUCAGCUCCGUAGGUUCGCCCCAGGCCAGGCCCUUCUUUUGCCAGGAGGUGAGCCGAAUGGGGGUUCCGGAUCGGAAUCCAGGGGCCGCCGCCCAGUUGGCGUUGCGCGGCUCGGUGAUGUAGAACCACCCCGAUUGCCACCCUUUUAUGGUCUCCGCGAAGGAGCCAUCAAGCCAGGUGACGUUAGGCAUCUUGCCUACCAUGGCCCCUCCGCACUCCGCUUGCUGGCCGCUCACGAUCUUUGGCUUCACGCAGAAGAUUUGCAGCCAUAAGCCAAAGUGAGGCUGGAUGCGGAGGAAGGCCUCGCAUACGACGAUAAACGCCGAGAUGUUGAGGACAAAGUUUGGGGCUAGAUCAUGGAAAUCUAACCCGUAGUAGAACAUGAGCCCGCGGACGAAGGGAUGUAGCGGAAAUCCCAGUCACGGACGAAGUGGGCGAGAAACACGACCCUCUCAUGGGGUCCUGGGGUUGGGACCCGCCCGUCAUCCGGUAGCUGGUGCUCUAUGUAUGCGGCCAAGUAUCCGGCCGCCCAAAGAUCCGCGAUAUGCUUCUUCUUCAUUGUGGAAGCCACCCACUUGCCUCCUGCUCCGGACAUAUUCAGUUGUGCAGAGAAGACUUGGACUAGGACGCUGGAGCUCGAGGAAGCAAGGAGAAGCGAAGGAGGAGGAGAGCGUGGGUGAAAAUGGGGAUCCUUUAUCCCUUUAUAGAGGCGACAAAAGCGGUGCCCCUCCUCACUUGCCCGUUUAGAAAAGCUUAAUUCCCAAGCGCCACGAUUGAUGGUGCGGUGGGGUUACCCAUACCCGUAUUGAUGAGAAUCCCGUGAUAAGGGGACGUGAUCUCUGCUUUGACAAGACGUGUCAAGGAAACUGCCUCGCAAUACACGUUGUGGCUGGUUGUGGGAAAAUGGUUCGAAUAAUGACCCGGCCGUAAUGACAUAUCACGUCGUCUAAAAAGUUGUCAGCUGAAGUAUCAUUCUCUCUACAGUGGUAUGUAAAGAUCAUUUUUGCAGAUCCGGACACGGUCCAUGUGUUCGAUAAUAACUUUGGAGUAUUCGGAGAAGGAACCCGCCUUGCAAUGCCAAAGACAAGACUGCGCGCCGGACUCAUCGUCAUUGAAGCCUGGUUCAGGGGCUACUGAGGGAGUCCUGGAUUAGGGGGUAUCCGGACAGCCGGACUGUAUACAUCGUCCGGACUAUUGGAGCGUGAAGAUACAAGACUCAAGACUCCGUCUCGUGUCCGGAUGGGACUCUCCUUUGCGUGGAAGACAAGCUUGGCGAUCCGGAUAUUGUAUUUCCUUCCUUGUAACUGACUCCAUGUAAACCCUAGCCCUCUCCGGUGUCUAUAUAAACCGGAGAGGAUGGUCCUUAGAAGGCCGAUCACAAUUACAAUCAUACCAUCAUAGGCUAUCUUCUAGUGUUUAGCCUCUACGAUCUUGUGGUAGAUCUACUCUUGUACUACUCAUAUCUUCGAUAUUAAUCAAGCAGGAAGUAGGGUUUUACCUCCAUCGAGAGGGCCCGAACCUGGGUAAACAUUGUGUCCCUUGCUUCCUGUUACCAUUAGCCUAAAACGCACAGAUCGGGAUCCCCUACCCGAGAUCCGCCGGUUUUGACACCGACACCUACUCUUCACCUACUCCUCAUGGGAACGAGUAGAGACUAUGUCUUCAAACCUUUUUGGUCCUUACUGACAAAAGGGGGAGAAGCAUAGGUUGAUAGUCUUCAAGCGGGUCCAUAUGGGUGGUUGCUAUACUUUUGCCCAGUGUUUACAACUCUCGUUUUUGAUACAUUUGGUUUUUUGAGUUGUAACACUUAAACUUGAUGGUCGUCUGCUACUUUUUCUGCUAUUAUGUGAUGCGAUGUUAAAUCCCGCAUGAAGUCAUUUCGCAGACGUCCAUUUUUCAUUAUGCAUGUCAUUAUUCCUAUAUAUCUGAUCAUGCAUGAUGUAUUGUCUUCGUAUGGUGAAGAGGAUCUCCACAAGUACAACCUGCCAUGUGCAUUUGCAUUCCAACGCAAAAAAUUUAUAUGCACAUGUUCAGGGGGAGCUUUUUGCCACUUAUGAAGACAAUAUCUUAAUCCUUUACAAUUUCACAUACUUUUAUCCCCAUUGAAAACUUCAACCAGUUUGUCAUCAAUCACCAAAAAGGGGGAGAUUGUAAGUGCAUCUAGUGCCACCCCUAGUUGGUUUUGGAGUAUUGACGACAAACUUGGUUGAGGGACUAAUGUGUUUGUGAGAAUUGCAGGAUAACACAGGUAGUAGUCCCUCAUUGAUUCGGUUUACCUACCGGAGAUGACCCCUAAAAAUGUGUGAAGACAUUGAAGACAAUGGUGGUCUGUGAAGAUGUUCACAUUGAAGACUAUGACACGGGAAGACAUUGAGUGAAGACUAUAGAGCGCGAAGACUUAGUUGUUUCGUUGUUUCCUUUUAUUCUUUGUCGAGUCAUAGGAACCACCACACUGUUAAGUGGUGUCCAAGUGAACAAAGUCGGAGUGACUGAAGUGAUGCUCAACCAAACCCUAUGUAUUCGAGGAAGACAAUGAGAGCAAAUCUUAUCCAGAGUCGGAUGAGUCAGCUUGACUUGUAGCCCAAGUCAAGCUGUCGCAUGUGUUUGAAAUCUGACCGUUGCGACACGUGUCAGUUCCUUAGUGACCCAGGGUCAUUUAGGACAAAUCAGGUCGGGUUGCCCAGUGGCUAUCAAUAGCCCACCCCCUACACCAUAAAUUGGUGGCUGCUCAGAGUUAGAUACGACUUUUGUCGUUUGAGAGCAACCCACCUCCGAAACUUUUGAGAGAGAAUCCUUGCAAGGACAAAGCACAAACCACCCAGAGCCCAAAGAGUGUUUGGCAUCACUGAAGUCUUUCUGUCCGCGUGAUCUGAAGACUUGUUACACUUGAGGACUGUGAAUCCUCCAGCCAGUUAGGCGUCACGUUCUGAGCAUCCAAGAGCCAUUGUGGAUUGCCGGUGAACGAAGUCUGUGAAGGUUCGGAAGUCUACCUUGAAGACUUAGCAGAGUGAUUGGGCGGGGACUAGGUGUCCUUAGCUCAAGGGGAAUAAGGUGAAGACGCGGUCUUCUAAGUUAAAUCUCAGCCUCCCUAAGCAGACGUACAGUUGUCACAGCAACUGGAACUGGUCGAACAAAUCCCUGUCCUCCUAAAGCUACUGGUUCUAUCUCUCACUUCUCUCUACUUACAGUUUGUCUUCGUGAAGUCAUUGCCUGCUUGCAUUAUCUAUUUGACUUCACUGUGUGACUACAUCUGAUUGGCUUCAUACUUUCUUCCAUCCUGAUCCUUACUAGCUAUAUGCUAAUAGUCUUCGUGAUUUCACUUCAUUGCAUACUUGGCUAUGGCUUGUCUAGUGUAGUCUACCUUCCGCUGCAUUCGAUUAGUGUUGUUUCUAUUGUUUGUCUUCGAAACUCCCAUGUUUUGAAGACUUUCAUAAAAAUCGCACAUUCACCCCCCCUCUAGUCGAUAACUAGCCCUUUCAGCAACUCUGAAGAUUGGGGUUCUGACGAUGGUAAGGAGCCAGGUAUAACACCUAAGUUUGAUUGUGUUAAAUCUUUUAUGGACACCUACGCUUUUCGUGGAUUUAGCACUAAAUAUGGACUUGACUCUGAGAUAGUAGCUUCUUUCUGUGAAUCUUUUUCUACUCACGUUGAUCUCCCUCAGGAGGAGUGGUUUAAAUAUAAUCCUCCCAUUGAAAUAAAAGUAGUUGCACCUAUUACAGUUGAAGAAAAGAUUAUUACUUAUAAUGAUCCUAUUUUUCCUACUACUUAUGUUGAGAAACCACCUUUUCCUGUUAGGAUAAAGGAUCAUGUUAGAGCUUCAACUGUUGUUCCUAAGAGUAAUACUAGAACAUUUACACCUCCUGAGAAAAUUAAAGUUGAACGUAGUAUUGCUAUGGUUAAAGAUCUCUUGGAUGAUAAUAUAGAUGGGCAUGUUAUUUACUUCUGUGGUGAAACUGCUAAUAUUGCUAGACCAGAUGCUAAGAUACAUAGACCUGUUGUAGGCAUGUCUAUUAUUUCUGUUAAAAUAGAUCAUUGUUAUCAUGGCUUAUGUGAUAUGGGUGUUAGUGCUACUGCAAUACCUCAUUCCUUAUAUGAAGAGAUUAUGCAUGAUAUCACACCCGCUGAAAUAGAAGGUAUCAAUGUUACUAUUAAGCUUGCCAAUAGAGAUACUAUUUCACCAGUUGGGAUUGUUAGAGAUGUUGAAGUCUUGUGUGGAAAGGUUAAAUAUCCUACUGAUUUUCUUGUUCUUGGUUCCCCACAAGAUGACUUUUGUCCCAUUAUAUUUGGUAGACCCUUCUUUAAUACUGUUAAUGCUAAGAUUGAUUGUGAAAAGGACGUUGUUACAAUUGGCUUGGGGGAUAUGAAACAUGAGUUUAAUUUUGCUAAGUUUCGUAGACAACCCCAUGAUAAAGAAUUGCCUAGUAAGGAUGAAAUUAUUGGUCUUGCUUCUAUAUUGUCGUGCCUCCUACUGAUCCGUUAGAACAAUAUUUGCUAGACCAUGAAAAUGAUAUGUUUAUGAAUGAAAGAAGGGAAAUAGGUGAAGUAUUCCUUCAACAGGGUCCCACUCUGAAACACAACUUUCCUGUUGAAAUCCUCGGGGAUCCUCCUCCACCCAAGGGUGAUCCCGUGUUUGAGCUCAAACCUCUACCUGACAAUCUUAAAUAUGCUUAUCUUGAUGAAAAGAAGAUAUAUCCUGUUAUUAUUAGUGCUAACCUUUCAGAGCAAGAAGAAGAAAGAUUAUUGAAAACUCUAAAGAAGCACAGUGCUGCUAUUGGAUAUACUUUGGAUGAUCUUAAGGGCAUUAGUCCCACUCUAUGCCAACACAAAAUAAAAUUGGAGAAAGAUGCCAAACCAGUUAGAGAUCCUCAACGACGGUUAAAUCCUAAGAUGAAAGAAGUGGUAAGAAAGGAGAUACUAAAACUCCUUGAGGUAGGUAUAAUUAUCCCGUUGCUGAUAGUGAUUGGAUAAGUCCUAUCUAUUGCGUUCCUAAAAAGGGAGGUAUUACUGUCAUUCCUAAUGAUAAAGAUGAAUUGAUCCCGCAAAGAAUUAUUACAGGUUAUAGGAUGUUAAUUGAUUUCUGCAAAUUAAAUAAAGCUACUAAGAAAGAUCAUUACCCUUUACCUUUUAUUGAUCAAAUGCUAGAAAGAUUAUCCAAACACACACAUUUCUGUAUUCUAGACGGUUAUUCUGGUUUCUCUCAAAUACCUGUGUCAGUGGAUGAUCAAUCAAAAACUACUUUUACUUGCCCUUUUGGUACUGUUGCUUAUAGACGUAUGCCUUUUGAUUUAUGUAAUGCACCUGCUACCUUUCAAAGAUGCAUGAUGGCUAUAUUCUGUGACUUUUGUGAAAAUAUUUGUGAGGUAUUCAUGGAUGACUUCUUCGUUUAUGGAUCCUCUUUUGAUGAUUGCUUGAGCAACCUUGAUCGAGUUUUGCAGAGAUGUGAAGACACUAGUCUUGUCUUGAAUUGGGAAAAGUGCCACUUUAUGGUUAAUGAAGGCAUUUUCUUGGGGCAUAAAAUUUCUAAAAGAGGUAUUGAAGUUGAUAAAGCUAAAGUUGAUGCCAUUGAAAAGAUGCCAUGUCCCAAGGACAUUAAAGGUAUAAGAAGUUUCCUCGGUCAUGCCGGUUUAGAUAGGAGGUUUAUUAAGGACUUUUCUAAAAUCUCUAGGCCUCUGACUAAUUUAUUGCAAAAAGAUAUUCCUUUUGUCUUUGAUGAUGAUUGUGUGGAAGCAUUUGAAAUACUUAAGAAAGCUUUGAUCACUGCACCUAUUGUUCAGGCACCUGAUUGGAAUUUACCCUUUGAAAUUAUGUGUGAUGCUAGUGAUUAUGUUGUAUGUGCUGUUCUAGGGCAAAUAGUUGAUAAGAAAUUAAAUGUUAUCCAGUAUGCUAGUAAAACUUUUGAUACUGCCCAGAGAAAUUAUGCUACUACUGAAAAGGAGUUUUUAGUAGUCGUAUUUCCAUGUGAUAAGUUCAGACCUUACAUUGUUGAUUCUAAAGUUACUAUUGACACUGAUCGUGCUGCUAUUAAAUACCUUAUGGAAAGAAAGAUGCUAAGCCUAGACUUAUUAGAUGGGUUCUCUUACUCCAAGAAUUUGAUUUGCAUAUUAUUGAUAAAAAGGGAGCUGAGAACCCCGUUGCAAACAACUUGUCCAGGUUAGAGAAUGUUCUUGAUGACCCACUACCUAUUGAUGAUAGCUUUCCCGAUGAACAAUUAGAGGUCAUUAAUGCUUCUCAUGCUGCUCCAUGGUAUGCUGAUUAUGCUAAUUACAUUGUUGCUAAAUUUAUACCACCUAGUUUCACAUACCAGCAAAAGAAAAUGUUCUUUUAUGAUUUAAGACAUUACUUUUGGGAUGACCCACACCUUUAUAAAGAAGGAUUAGAUGGUGUUAUUAGACUUUGUGUACCUGAGCAUGAACAGGAACAGAUCCUACGCAAGUGUCACUCCGAACCAUAUGGAGGACACCACGCUAGAGAUAGAACUGCACAUAAGGUAUUGUAAUCCGGUUUUUAUUGGCCUACUCUCUUGAAAGAUGCCCGUAAGUUUGUCUUGUCUGGUGAUGAAUGCCAAAGAAUUGGUAAUAUUAGUAGACGUCAAGAAAUUCCUAUGAAUUAUUCUCUUGUUAUUGAACCAUUUGAUGUUUGGGGCUUUGAUUAUAUGGGACCUUUUCCUGCCUCUAAUGGAUAUACACAUAUUUUAGUUGCUGUUGAUUACAUUACUAAGUGGGUAGAAGCUAUUCCAACUAGUAGUGCUGAUCAUAACACUUCUAUUAAGAUGCUUAAAGAAGUUAUUUUUCUGAGGUUUGGAGUCCCUAGAUAUCUCAUGACUGAUGGUGGUUCGCAUUUUAUUCAUGGUUUUUUUCAUAAAAUGAUUGCUAAGUAUGAUGUUAAUCAUAGAAUUGCAUCUCCUUAUCACCCACAAUCUAGUGGUCAAGUAGAGUUGAGUAAUAGAGAGCUCAAAUUAAUUUUGCAAAAGACUGUCAAUAGAUCUAGAAAGAAUUGGUCCAAGAAACUUGAUGAUGCAUUAUGGGCCUAUAAAACUGCAUAUAAAAAUCCUAUGGGUAUGUCUCCGUAUAAGAUGGUUUAUGGAAAAGCAUGUCACUUACCUCUCGAACUCGAACAUAAAGCAUAUUGGGCUAUUAAAGAGCUCAACUAUGACUUCAAACUUGCUGGUGAGAAGAGGUUAUUUGAUAUUAGCUCAAUUGAUGAAUGGAGAACACAAGCCAAUGAGAAUGCCAAGCUGUUCAAAGAAAAAGUUAAAAGAUGGCAUGACAAAAGAAUACAAAAGCGUGAGUUUAAAGUAGGUGAUUAUGUGUUGCUAUUCACCACCGUUUAAGAUUUUUUUACAGGAAAACUUCUCUCUAAGUGGGAAGGUCCUUACGCGGUGCCAUAAAAAUCAACAACUUCGAAGGCACAAGUCUGAGGGUGGUGGACGGUCAAAGAAUUAAACAUUAUAUCUCAGGCAAUCCUAUCAAUGUUGAAACUAAUAUUAUUGAGACCAUAACCCCGGAGGAAUACAUAAGGGACACUUUCCAGAACAUUUCAGACUCCGAAAAGGAAUAGGUAUCUGGUACGGUAAGUAAACCGACUCCAAAACAAUUCUAAUGGCAUUUUUUCUCCGUUUUGGAGUAUUUAAGAAUUUUGGGAAGCAAGAAGUAAUCCGGGAAGGACACGAGGCCUCCACGAGGGUGGAGGGUGCGCCCACCCUUACUGUGCAUGCCCCCCUGUCUCGUGGCACCUCGUGUGCCUCUUGGACUCCAUUUUCUUGCAUGUUACUUCUUUUGGUCGGUAAAAAAUCAUUAUAUAAUCUCCCGAAGGUUUUGACCACCGUAUCACGCAAAAAUCCUCUAUUUUCAUUUCGAGUUGUUUUUCUGACAGAUCUAGAGCACCAUGACAUCUCCGAGCGCUCCCAAGGACAAGUUUUUCGAGAGAGUUAUCAACCCCUAUCUUGCGGAGGUGCUGCAACACCCUCAAACCAUUAAGAUGUGAGCAGGGGUGCUGCACAUCCGCUAUGUGGAGGGACCAAGGCGUACUGGAAGCGUGGAGACAAAGCUCGAAGCUAUGGAGCAACAAGUUUUCAAGUGCCAAGGGAUGGUGGAGCGUGGACCCAACGCUAACCAGAUAAUGAUUGCGAAGUUCACCAACAACCACAAGCUAGACGCCAAGAACAUUGGGGAUACCAUCUUCAAGCUUCAUGAGAAAAUCGAGCAUCUCCAAGCCCAGAUCUAUGACCUGCAAAACCAAAACUAUGAGUAUGAAUAUAGAUUCAAGAGGAUGAGUUUGGCUGCAGAUUUGAGGAUCCCGGAGGCUCGAUCAUCCUUUUAUGAUGGUGAGCCUAUGCCUUGGAAGAUGGACGACAAGCCUACAUCAUCAACAACUCCUUCGUCACCACCUCCGAGGACAUAAUCACAUGGGUAUGGGCACUCCCCUUGGAAACUGCCAAGCUUGGGGGAGGUUCCCCGGUAUCGUAUCACCAUCACACUCCUAUCUUUAUCGUUUUUCUUAGUUCGAUCCUUUUAGUAAUAUCUAGAUCUAGUAGAUUGAAGUUUUGGUAUGAAUUAGUUUUGAGUUUUGCUUUGUGAUCCCUUCUUUGUAAUCGAGUCCGUGAGCUAUCUAUAAUAAAGAUUAGUGUUGAGUCAAGGGUUUUUGCUAUCCUGCUAUGAUCUUGAGAAAAUAGAAAAAAUAAAAAAGAAUAAAAGAGUUCAUAUUGAUCCUAUGGUAGUAAUGACUUCACAUAUAAAAAGUUUGAGUCAUAAAAGUUGUUGAGAGUUGACAAAUAUAGUUUUGGUCAUUGUUGCAAUUAAUAGGAAGUAAUAAAGAAAUAGAGGUUCUCACAUAUAAAUAUACUAUCUUGGAGAUGUUUUAUGAUUGUGAGCACUCAUUAAGUAUGACAUGCUAAAGAGUUGAUGUUGGACAAGGAAGACAACGUAAUGGGUUAUGUUUUCUCACAUCUCAGUUAAAGUAUAUUGUCAUGGAUCUUUCAAACAUGUUGAGCUUGUCUUUCCCCCUCAUGCUAGCCAAAAAUUCCUUGCACCAAGUAGAGAUACUACUUAUGCUUACAAAUAUCCUUAAACCCAGUUUUGCCAUGAGAGUCCACCAUACCUACCUAUGGAUUGAGUAAGAUCGUUCAAGUAAGUUUUCAUGUUGCAAGCAAUAAAAAUUGCUCUCUAAAUAUGUAUGACUUAUUAGUGCGGAGAAAAUAAGCUUUAUACGAUCGUGUGAUAUGGAAGUAAUAGAAGCGAUGGACUGCAUUAUAAAGGUUCAUAUCACAAGUGGCAAUAUAAAGUGACGUUCUUUUGCAUUAAGAUUUUGUGCAUCCAACCCUAAAAGCACAUGACAACCUCUGCUUCCCUCUGCGAAGGGCCUAUCUUUUACUUUAUGUCUUUUACAUUAUGCAAGAGUCAAGGUGAUCUUCACCUUUCCCUUUUUCAUUUUAUCCUUUGGCAAGCACCUCGUGUUGGAAAGAUCCUGAUAUAUAUAUAUAUAUAUAUAUAUAUAUAUAUAUAUAUAUAUCCAAUUGGAUGUAAGUUAGCAUGAACUAUUAUUGUUGACAUCACCCAAAGGUGAAUACGUUGGGAGGAAACACAAUAAGCCCCUAUCUUUCUCAAUGUCCGAUUAAAACUUCAUAACCAUAAGUAUUGCGUGAGUGUUAGCAAUUGUAGAAGACUAUAUGAUAGUUGAGUAUGUGGACUUGCUGAAAAGCUCUAUUCUUGACUCUUUCUAAUGUUAUGAUAAAUUGCAAUUGCUUCAAUGACUGAGAUUAUAGUUUGUUAGUUCUCAAUGAAGUUUAUGAUCCAUACUUGACAUUGUGAAUAGAUUGUUACGUGACCAUAAGAAAUCAUAUGAUAAAAUCUAUAUAUGUUGUUGUUAUAAGAAUGAUCAUGAUGCCCUCAUGUCCGUAUUUUAUUUUUAUCGACACCUUUAUCUCUAAACAUGUGGACAUAAUUUUCGAUUUUGGCUUCCGCUUGAGGACAAGCGAGGUCUAAGCUUGGGGGAGUUGAUACGUCCAUUUUUCAUCAUGCUUUUAUAUCAAUAUUUAUUGCAUUAUGGGCUGUUAUUACACGUUAUGUCACAAUACUUAUGGCUAUUCUCUCUUAUUUUACAAGGUUUAUCAUGAAGAGGGAGAAUGCCGACAGCUGGAAUUCUGGCUAGAAAAGGAGCAAAUAUUGGAAACCUAUUUUGCACAGCUCCAAAAAUCCUGAAACUCCACGGAAGUCAUUUUUGGAAUUAAUAAGAAUUUUUGAGCAAAGAAAAUACCAGAGGGGGCCCACACCCUAGCCAGGAGGGUGGGGGCACGCCCCCUACUAGGCGUGCCCCUAUCUCCUGGGCCCCCUGGUGGCCCUCCGGUGCCCAUCUACUGCUAUAUGAAGGGUUUUACCCUGGAAAAAAUCAGAAGCAAGCUUACGGGACGAAACUCCGCCGCCACGAGGCGGAACCUUGGCGGAACCAAUCUAGGGCUCCGGCGGAGCUGUUCUACCGGGGAAACUUCCCUCUGGGAGGGGGAAAUCAUCACCAUCGUCAUCGGCAACGAUCCUCUCAUCGGGAGGGGGUCAAUCUCCAUCAACAUCUUCACCAGCACCAUCUCCUCUCAAAACCCUAGUUCAUCUCUUGUACCCAUUCUUGUAUCAAAACCACAAAUUGGUACCUGUGGGUUGCUAGUAGUGUUGAUUACUCCUUGUAGUUGAUGCUAAUUGGUUUACUUGGUGGAACAUCAUAUGUUCAGAUCCUUAAUGCAUAUUAAUACUCCUCUGAUCAUGAACAUGAAUAUGCUUUGUGAGUAGUUACAUUUGUUCCUGAGGACAUGGGUGAAGUCUUGCUAUUAGUAGUCAUGUGAAUUUGGUAUUCGUUCGAUAUUUUGAUGAGAUGUAUGUUGUCUCUCCUCUAGUGGUGUUAUGUGAAUGUCGACUACAUGACACUUCACCAUUAUUUGGGCCUAGAGGAAGGCAUUGGGAAGUAAUAAGUAGAUGAUGGGUUGCUAGAAUGACAGAAGCUUAAACCCUAGUUUAUGCAUUGCUUCAUAAGGGGCUGAUUUGGAUCCACUAGUUUCAUGCUAUGGUUAGGUCUACCUUAAUACUUCUUUUGUAGUUGCGGAUGCUUGCAAUAGGGGUUAAUCAUAAGUGGGAUGCUUGUCCAAGAAAGGGCAGUACCCAAGCACCGGUCCACCCACAUAUCAAAUUAUCAAAGUAUCGAACGCGAAUCAGAUGAUCGUGAUGAAAACUAGCUUGACGAUAAUUUCCAUGUGUCCUCAGGAGCACUUUUCUCAUUAUAAGAAAUUGUCCAGGCUUGUCCUUUGCUACAAAAAGGAUAGGGCCACCUUCCUGCACUUUAUUUACUUUCAUUGCUUGUUACCCGUUAUAAAUUAUCUUAUCACAAAACUAUCUGUUACCUACAAUUUCAGUGCUUGCAGAGAAUACCUUACUGAAAACCGCUUAUCUUUUCCUUCUGCUCCUCGUUGGGUUCGACACUCUUACUUAUUGAAAGGACUAUGAUAGAUCCCAUAUACUUGUGGGUCAUCAGGCAACAACGUUAGCCACAACUCGGUAUUCAGCCUCCGCGCUGGAGCGUGAAACUGUGGGUUGUCGCUUGGACGACCAUGAGACGAGUGAAGGACCGAGGUAAACGUAGUAGCCAGAGGUGGACCGACGGGUGUCAGGGCAGCCAACCCAGUCCGCGUAAGAGUAGGCCACCAUCUCCAGAGAAGAGGACGCCGUGAGGGUGAGCCCAAGAGUCAUCGUGCCGCGAAUGUAACGGAGGAUCAGCUUCACGAGAGUCCAAUGGGAGUCACAAGGGGCGUGCAUGUAGAGGACACACCUGCUGAACAGCAUAUUGUAGAUCCGGUCGGGUGAGAUUCAGAUACUGGAGAGCACCGAUAAUGGACCGGUAGAAGGGAGCAUCCGACGCUGGCGAGCCCUCAGGAACAGAAACCUUGGCCUUCGUGUCAACAGGAGUAGCAACAGGGUGACAGUUGAGCAUGCCAGCACGCUCAAGGAGCUCGUGCGCAUACUUAUGCUGAUGAAGGAAGAAGCCAUCCGGUCGCCGGACAACCUCAAUGCCAAGGAAAUAAUGUAGAGCACCCAAGUCCUUGAUGGCGAACUCGUCACGCAGCCGGAGAGUAAUUUGCUGAAGAAGAGUUGCGGAGGAGGCUGUCAGGAUGAUGUCGUCGACAUAGAGGAGCAAAUAUGCAGUCGUGUCACCAUGGUGAUAGACAAACAGUGAGGCAUCCGAGCGAGUGAUGCUGAAGCCCAGUGUCUGAAGAAACACGGCGAUCUGCUGGCACCAGGCGUGAGGUGCUUGCUUGAGCCCGUAGAGAGACCGGGACAGCAAACACACAUGACCAGGAAGAGAUGCGUCGACGAAACCGGUGGGCUGCUCACAAUAAACCUGCUCCUCAACAUGGCCGUGGAGAAAGGCGUUGGAGACAUCCAUCUGAUGAAUUGGCCAGCCUCGGGACACCGCAAGCUGGAGUACAUUGCGGAUCAUACCCGGAUUGACAACCGGCGCAAACAUCUCAGUGAAGUCAACUCCAGCGCGCUGUCGAAAACCACGAACCACCCAUCGAGCCUUGUAGCGCUCAAGUGUACUAUCCGAGCGGGUCUUGUGGCGAAAGACCCACUUGCCGCUGAUGACAUUGGCGCGAGGAGGCCUGGGAACCAGUGUCCAAAUGUGGUUUCAUCGGAGUGCGUCAAACUCUUCCUGCAUCGCGACAAGCUAGUGAGGGUCACGAAGAGCUGCACGAGCGGACGCAGGAAGAUGGGACGACUGCGUGGUGGAGGCGGCGAGUAGGUACUCGUCGCUCGAGUACCGCAGGCUCAGAGGGUGAAUGCCAGCUCGGGCCCGUGUGACGGGACGAGACGGCAGCGCCGGAAUGUCCGGCGAGGUGGCCGACGAGACGACCGGUGACGCGGCCGAUGAGGCUACCAGCGACACGGCCGGGGAGGCGGCAGCCGAGCCUGUGGCGCCCGAGGCAGCCGAGCCCGCGGCGCCCGAGGUGGGGGUGGCGGGUGAAGAGGGGGCAUCGGCUGAGGCGUCGAGGCCGACCGAGACAUCGGGGCCGGCAGAGGGGGUGGGGUCGCCCGAGGUGGCCGAAGAGGCAGGCGCUGACGUGGGGGCGCGAGGCGCAGCUCGCCCCAUAGCGCGAGGACCACCAAAGCCCAAUGGCGGUCUGAGAGCCGAGCGGGGCCGUCCACCUGACGGAGUCGCCGAAGGGCCGCUGGUUGCCGGUGGCGAUGGGGCGACAAGGGGUACCUGCUGCUGAAAUGGAAACACCUUCUCAUCAAAGUAAACGUGUCGGGAGGUGAAAACACGAUGAGAGACGGGAUCAUAGCAGCGGUAGCCCUUAGUGUUAGGUGGGUAGCCGAGAAAGAUGCAGGCGAAAGAGCGGGGUGCAAGCUUAUGAGGCGCAUUGGCGGCGAUGCUAGGGUAGAAGAGACAGCCGAAUAUGCGAAGCUCGUCAUAAGAGGGCGGUGCCCCGAAGAGGAGGUGAUGAGGUGCAAAGUUUCCGUGAGUGCGACAUGGAUGGAUGUUAAUGAGGAGGGUAGCGGUGGCGAGAGCGUUAGGCCAAAAACACGGAGGCACAUUGGCGUGAAAGAGGAGAGUCCGAACGCAGUCAUUAAGAGUGCGAAGGACACGCUUAGCGCGACCGUUUUGCUGCGAAGUGUACGGGCAGGUGAGACGAAAAGUCAUGCCAUGUGUGGUGAGGAGAGUACGAACAGCUAGAUUGUCGAACUCCUUCCUGUUAUCAGUCUGGAACACAAGAAUGGGGCGACCAAAAUGCGUGAGAACAUAAGAGUAGAAAGCGACGAGAGUGGAUAUAACAUCCGACUUGCGACGCAACGGGAAGGUCCACACAUGAUGCGAAAAAUCAUCAAGUAUGACAAGAUAAUAAAGAUAGCUUGUAUUGCUAGCAACAGGAGAGGUACAAACAUCACUAUGAAUUAACUCAAACGGGUACGAUGCAACAUGAGAAGAAGCCCUAAAGGGGAGACGAGCAUGUCUGCCGAGGCGACAUGCAUGAAACGAGUGAUCCUCGUUCUUAUUACACAUGAAUGAAAAACUCCGAAGUAUAUGACGAAGGGUGGGGAGGUUUGGAUGACCCAAGCGAGCGUGUCAAAGAUCCACUCCGGUGGCAAGAGCGACAGGGGCGGCGGAGCUGGUGGAGGUGGCGGAGUGAACCGGGUAGAGCUCGUCAGGUCUGUCACAUCAGUGGAGUACCAUCCGGGUGCGAGCGUCCUUAACAAAAAAAACCACACUCGUCAAAUUCAAUGGUAACAGGAUUUUCGUGUAAGAGAACGAACAGAAACAAGAUUUUUAAUAAGAUCAGGAGAAACUAAGACGUUAGACAAUGAUAUUGGAGUACAAUUAGACGGAAAAUAUGUAUGUCCUAUGUGAGUGAUGGGAAGGGAGGAACCGUCACCGACGGUGAUGUGAGGGGAAGUGUGAACGGGAUAGGAGGUGUGGAGGUUACGGAGAUAAGCGGCCAUAUGUGCGGUAGCUCCAGUGUCCAUAUACCAGUCGCCCCCGCCGGUGUAGGUGGACGGUGAGGGGGGCGGUGUGAAGGGCCGUCAAAAGAGCCGGGUCCCACGGCGCCGGCGGGAGAGCAUGCGGCUGCGGCGGGGCCGUCAAGGGCAGCAGCGGCAGCCCGGCUGGCUGCGGCUGCUAGCGGUAGGAGAGGGGCCCGCAGGGUGCUGCGUAAGGCUACGGCGUGGCGUAGUACGCCUGGUAAGACGGUGGCCGGGCGCCGAGAAUACCCGGGGCAGGGGCACGCGGAACCGGCAUGGAGUAGGCGUGCACGACACUAGUCCAUGGGUUCUGGCCGGCGUACCAUGGAGCCAGCGAGUACUGCUACUGCGGAGGGCGGGUUGCUCCUCCCUGAGCGCCCGCGCCCCCCUGCUGCUUCUUGCGGUCUCCGUGGCGGCCGCCGCGACGCCCCCCCCCCCAUUGGCAGCCGGCUGGGGCUGCGGGAAGGGGGCGACCGACCGGGGCGGGCGGGAAACCGGGCGGGAAGGCGGGCGCCGGCGGCUGGGCCGGUGCGGGGCGCGGCGGUGUGGGGACUGGCCCCCGCGGGUGCUGGCGACGAGGAUGGUGUGGGUCGCUCGAGUCCGCGCCAUCGUCAUCCGACGCUCUCCAGUUUGAGGUACGCCACCACCUUAGCGAAGGUAGGCUCCGGGAUGAGGAUGAGGUUGGAGGCGGCGUUCCCGAAGUCAUCGUUGAGGUCGGCGGUGAGGGUGCUGAUGAGGAGCUCGUCGCCAACCGUCUCUCCGAGAUUGCAGAGCUCAUCGGUGAGCAUUUUGAGGCGCAUGCAGAAAUCGUCGAUGGACGAGUCAAGCUGCUGGCACCCGUAAAACUCGCCGUGAGGAAGGACCUUGCGCUACAGUUUGUUGUCGGUGAAGAGGCCGUUGAGCUUGGUCCAGACGGCGUAGGCGUCGUCAUCAUCAGCCACCACGGUGUGGAAGAGGUCGUUGGAGAUGGUGAGAUAGAACCAGCAGGUGAUUGUGGCGCCGAUGAUCAUCCACUCCUCGUCAUGAAUCAUGAGGCUCGAGUCCACGGUGCCGUCGACGUGGCCGUGGAGGAGGUACUCGCGAAAUACCAAGGAGAAGUACCGCUUCCAAGCGGAGUAGGUGGCGGUGGACUGAUCGAGCUUCACCGGGACAUGCUCAUGGAUGUUGAAGUCGCGGAUGAGCAUGACAUCAGGACUGGCGAAUGGGUUGCUGCCGGAAGAGACGGAGGAGCUCAUGGUGUGAACGGGCUAGGAAGAGGCAGCGGCGGCGAUUUGGAAAAAGCGGCAGCAGCACGAGCGAUCACGAGAGGUAGUACUAGCGGCGGCGUGUGUAGCAUUUAGGAAAAAACGGCGGUAGCACUAGCGAUCGCGAGAGGCAGCGAUGGUUUGGAUCCUAUUGCUAGAAACAGGAGGUGGGCUAUAUUGCUAGAAACAGGAUCGUAUUGCUAGCGUGGGAUUGCAGCGAUGGUUUGGAUCGUAUUGCUAGCGUGGGAUUGCAGCGAUGGUUUGGAUCGUAUUGCUAGCGACAGCACUAGCGACGCGAGAGGAACUGCGGCGGCGGCAGCGGCCAGAAGGCGCGGCGGCGGCGGCCAGAAGCGGAAGACCAGGUUUAGGAUCGGAAGACGAAAACUGAUACCAUGUGGAAGGGCUGUGCAAUCGCAAUACUUUAAUCGAUGCACUAGGCACGUAUAUAUGAGUUACAGAGGGGGCCACAACCUCGACUAUACAGAGGAAACAGAAGAUGAGUCCAAUACACGAUAUAUACGUACACAAUAUACUCAACAGUACAAAAGCAAGCGCUGCAAACUAGGGAAUGCAAGAGUGCAAUCACAUAUGUUGUGCAGGUUCCCAAGACCACUUAGUCCAAGUAGUCUGAGCCGGGGAAAUGAAUCCAUAAUGGAGGACAUGGUUCCUCCUCCUUCAACAUCGGAUGGAAUCAACUCCAACAUUGAAUCACCUCCUCUUUAUAUGGUCAUGACGGGCAAGUCUCUUUCUUCGAGUAUGUCCUCUCCAUCUAUCGCCCUAAGAGCAUCGUUAUUUUACCGCGGGGGUUGAGUUCCCAUGGGUAAUUUCAGAUUGGCACUUCAACAAACUUGAUGGGCUCAAAUUGUGAAUCUGAGAGAGUUGGAAUGGAAGGGGUGCUGCCUCAUGCUUGGUUUCCGAAACCACAUCUGCUACUAAUCCCUUGCUGCAACAUCAUCAGGAUAAUCUCAUGGGUCAAACAUCUCCCAUGCCUAGAAGAGGUUUACUGAUAAAGACAUUUCAUUCAAUCGAUAUAUCUAGUUGAUACAACCGCGCUGAGAAAAUGCCCGGCCUCUGCAUAGCAUGAUGCACACAGCCAAAACAUCCAACAGGACCAAAAAAAAAUAUUGUUUUACAAUAAUAGUACGAAAGGUCGACUUAGAAGAGGUAUAUUUGGUUGAAUUUGAUUGCAGUAGUUGGCUCACAGACCUUUGACAUCUCCACCCGCGGCUCCUAACAUGCCCCUACUGAAAUGGGGGCUUUCCAAAUCAAUAUGCACAGUACGAUUUGGUAAUCUCAACUUUCUGAAGUUCUAAUUUGUAUUCAGGACCAUGUUAUUGAAGAACGUAUUUCCAACCCUGUUUCUCGUGAAAACACUAAUUUCCCUAGCCAACAAAUUAAUCUUCCAGUUCCAAAAAAAUUAAAAUAUGUUUAGUAUUUUCUUAUGGAAAACUUUGCAGUCUGUCAGACAAAGACAUCCAUUGAUCCAAGCUCUUGGUAAAAAUUAUGGGGGUCAUGAAAUCCAUUUCCCAUUUAUCAUGUACUCAAACAUAACUUGUCAAUUUCCUUAUUUUCUAAUCCCAUCGGAUUAAUGCGGACAUGUUAGUUUUUUCUGUUUUUUGCGGUGGAAUGCGGUCUGGCAUGUCCUCUUUGAAUCUUACAAGCAUGGCUAAUAGAAAGAACAAUGAGUUCAUGGCCAUUUUCCUUUUAUUAUUUGCAUCCAAAUAAAGAACACAUGAUGCAAGUGCCACAUCAUUCCUUUUUUUUAUUCACUUAUUUCUCCACAUUAUCAGACAACCCUUACAAUGAAUUUCUAGGUACUGCCCGGAGGUGGGGGUGCAGGUAGCGUUAUAACAGGAACUGUGUAACCUGCACAAGAGAUUUUCAAUUCUCACAUCAUAAGGAUAAUCAUGAGCAAUUAUAUAAGAAAUAAUGGCAAGUA
rnacentral:lncRNA from 1 species